GUACAAUUAAGAGAUAAUAUGAAAACUGAUACAAAUAGUAUAACUGUGAGAUAAUUGGACAACUGGUACAAAUGGUAUUACUAAAAGAUAAUAGUACAAUUGAUACAAUUGGUAUAACUGACAUAUAAAUAGGUACAACUGGUACAAAUAGUUAGGUACAAUGGUACAAAUAGUUAGGUACAACUGGUACAAAUAAGUAGGUACAACUGAAACGAAGCAAUUGUAAUUCUAAACCCUAGCGCCGUCACACUUACUAAUUCGCCUCUUCUUGCUUUCUUCAUCGUCGUCGUCGCCGAUUAUCCGCCGUCAACCUUCUUUGUCGAAGUUUGUGAACCGUUUUUCUCACCAAACGAUUGCGCACUUCAAAGGACGAAAGCACGGGGAGAUAUCCAUGGAGAAGAAACAUGAAGAGAGAUCCAUGAUUAGUGAAUCUAAGAAAUCCAUGGAGAAGAAACAUGAAGAAAGAUUCAAUCUAUGAAGAAACGCAAAGAGAGAUCUAUGGAGAAGAUAGAUCUAAAGUUUCAUUGAUGAUGAUGAUGAUGGAGAAGAAGAGAUAUAAAGUGAAAGAUCCAAAAAAAAAAUCUAGAAAAAAUGAAAGAAGAAGAAGAAGAAGAAGCGUGAAAGAAGAAGAGGAGUGAAAAAAGAAGAAGCGUGAAAGAAGAAGAGGAGUGAGUGGCGGGGAUACGUAAUUAUCAAAUUAGGGUAAGGGUUUUUGGUCCUUUUGUCUUUAUUUGAUUUAAAUUCUUUUAUUUUUAUUAUUCUAAAAAAUUGGGUGGCUUUCUAGCCUUUUUGUUUCCAUAUAGUGGCAUUCUAGGCAUUGUUUCAAAUCAAAACGCUUCGUUUUACAAACUAAUACGGCGUCGUUUAUAGUCGGAAUCUUUUUGACGGCCCACUUUCUUCUGCUCUUUUUGUUUCUCGAAAUUUCGUGGCCAAAAAAUCCAGAUUUUAGUGUUUAGCCGACGCGAGAGAAAUCCGAUUUGGUAAAAUGUCGUGUACGCAUGAUCACAACUGCGAAGAUCAUGAGUGUUCUUCCGAUUGGUCUCUCUACAAACACAUUGAUCUCUCCAAGGUCUCUCUCUCUCUUUUCUACAAUCACUUACCUCUUCGCUUUUAUUGCUCAAAUAACGACUAAAAUCUUCAAAUAUCACCUAAAAUUUGUAAUUAGGUUAGUGAAUCCAAAAAAUCUAGAUUCUAAUUGAUAUUCGUGGAUAGAAAAUUCCUCAGAAAUUGUAUGAUCCUAAUCUAUAAGAAUUUAGGUUACUGUGUGAAUCAGUGUGCUAAAUUUUAUAACUUGGUCUCAGGUUUCUGCUCUGAAUGAAUCUGUUUCCGGAAGUGCAAAAUCAGUCUUCAAAGCAUGGGAAGAGAGAUUACAAUCUUCUGGGGUACUUUAAAUUCUCACCAUAACUUUUUUUUUUUUUUGCUUCUUGUUAGUUUUAUGGAGAUGAUAACCUUAAAGAUUGUUGAAGAGGACAUGAUUAUACCAAAAUCUGGCUUGUAGGCUAGUAAGGCACCACAAGCUAAUACGCCACUACCGUUCUUGCGACGUCAAUCACUAGGCAACCCUUAUAUGAUGGCUUAAGAACUAAGUCCCUACCAGGGCCUUCCUGAAGCUCACAUAAAAAAAAGUCAUUAGCUUUUAGGAUUAGAGAGCCUAGUUUAUUUAUAAGUCAUCAACCAAUUUUAGGCUUGGCUGAUGAAUGAUCCUUCCUCAAUUACUAUGAUUUAUAUGCAGUGAAAUUAUUGAUAGCAAUGAGUUUUUGUGCAUGAUAAUGUCUAAAGGAAAUGGUUUUUGUGUUUUGUUUUUUCUUGCGUACAGGAGCAUUUGGAGAGCAAUGAGGGAGACCCUGAAUUGCUUGUUUUUGUACCGUAUGUCAGUUAUUUGUUGUUCAUCUUUGAAACUGGCAUUUUGUUUUUUCACACGACCUUCUAUUUCUGGCUGAAUACACCGUUUGGCGUUUGUAAAAUCAUUUACCGACCUGUGACUUCAAAUUUCUUCUAAUAUUAUUGGUUUGCAUAUAGCAAUAUAGUUUAUAGAGAUAGAUCAUUGACUUGAAAGAAGCUUGAGAGGACUAGUUACAUUCCAUUUUUUCUUACUAUGAAAUUGUUUAAUACUUUUUGGAUGGCUGCUCAUUUAUGUCUGUCCAUUAUUGUAGAUUCACAUCAGACGUCAAGAUCAAGAGCAUAUCAAUUGUUGGUGGCCCUGAAGGAACAAGUCCUUCUAAGUUGAGAGUGUAUGUCUAAACUAGCUUACGAAAAUUUUCCUGUAUGCAUGUGUGAAUUCUGCAUAUGGUUCCUUCAUUAGGGGAAGAAAUAAAGACAGAAAGUUGAUUGUUGUCUCAAAACUAGGUUUAUCAAUCGCGAAGGUAUUGACUUCUCAGAUGCUGAGAGUAUGCAAGCUGUUCAGGUAUUCCCUUGUGAGUAUUUUGCAUACUGAAAUGCCAAAGACAAAUGAACUAAUUCAGAAAUAUUUGUGACUUCUUUGAAGGAAUGGGAGUUAGCUGAAAAUUUGCAAGGAGUCUUAGAAUACCAGACCAGGUAUUUCGCUACACAUAUAACGUUUACUGGAUUGUAAUAGACUCUGCAGACUUUAUGUAAUGAAUCUUAAAAAGUCUGUUUGAAUCGCGCAUUUUCUAUCAAAAGUUAGAUAUCUGAUACAUUGAGAGUGCGGAAUGUGAUUAGGUAUUCAAAAUUCCAGAGUGUUGGAAACAUUACAUUGCAUUUCCCUGAGAGCUUUGGAGGUGACACAACUCAAAUACGCUAUAUCGGGUUCAAAGGUGAAGCAACCCAGGUAUGUUUGCAUACAAAUGCUGCAACUAUAUAUCAUAUGGUAUGGUACUUUGUUAAUUCUUAACCUUGGCGGUCUUAACAGUUGAAAAGGGAUGUUGUUGCGACAAUCGUAUAUGAGAUUAGACCAAAUCCUUCAGAUCACAAGUAAGUCUGAAUCUCAACCAAAUCACUCUUUUCUUCCGUAUGUGAAGAUUCCUUCAGUUACAAACUCUGUUUGUUUGGUAGGACAAAAGCUGAGACUGGUGGAGGGUUUUCACAAGUUGAGUGAAGGAAGACAAUAUCUGCUCCUAACUUCACUCCUUAGCCUUCUCACAUACUCAUGUUUUCUCCUUAACAAGCUUAGACCUAUAUUGACAAACAUAUGUAUGAAAUAAAGUGAGAGACUUGUUUGUGGAAACAUCUCUAUGCUUAAACCCACAUGAGAUCUUUCAGAACUUUUAUUAUGAUGAAAUUUGGUUUAAGCCUAAUCCAUCUUAUAAGUUUUAUCUACUACAUUCUUCCAAAUUUUCCAUAGUGAGAAGUCCUUUCUUUUGGUUGUCUUGUGGCACAUCUAUAAAUUUCAGUUGGAAAGCCAAUUUUUAAUUUUGGGUAAAUUUUGAAAUCAAUGUACGAAGAAGACACGGUAACCCACACAUAAAUAUUAACCAUUAUCUUUAAUAUAAAGAGAAAACGUUAAAAGAACUAAAAUGUGAAAGACAAACAUUAAGAAAUCCUCAAGAAAAAGAUAAAGAGCAUGGAAGCCUGUAUUGUAUAUAACAGCUGAAAUUUAUCCAUAAACAUAUCAACUUUUUGGGGAUGCUUUGGGUGGUCCGGCAGGUGGAGCAGCACUCUGUGAAGCCGGUGUACCGCCACCACCACCGGUGGCAGCUCCAGCAGACCCGUCAGAAGAGUAACCUCCACCAGCAGCAGGUUGUGUGUAUCCUCCAUAAGACCCAUAUGCCUGUGGUGCUUGACCAUACCCAUACGCUGGAGGUUGUCCAUACCCUGACGCUGCAGGUUGUGCAUACCCAGACUGACUACCAUAGCUCCCGGGAGCACCUGGAGACUGCUGGCUCUGUCCAUAAGCCGGUGGCUUUGAAGACGGCGGUGGUGCUCCAUACCCAGAACUGUAAGCUGCUGGUGGCUGGCUGCUGUAACCAGCCUGAGAAGUUGGAGCAGCUCCAUACCCUGCCUGAGAAGUACUACCUUGAGCAGGCGGCUGUUGACCAGUUGUACCAUACCCAGCCUGUCCAGACUGAGCUGACGAUGGCGGAGCGGCUUGAGAUGUAUCUUCCUCUUGACUUGGAUUAGUGGUGCUGCCGUAACCACCCUGUUGAUCAUACCCAGCAGCUUGACCAUAUCCUGAUUGCUGAGAGGCAUUGUAAGCUCCAUACCCAUCUUGCUGGUAUCCCUGACCAGCUUGGCCAUAACCAGAAGCAUGCUGGUAGUAAUUGUACCCUGUGGUAUCUGUUGGUGGGGCUGAGCUACCACCACUGCUUGGUUGCUGUGACUGUUGUUGACCAUAAUAAUCAUACUCACCGUGCGCACUCUGCUGGGAUGGUGGCACAGAGGAUUGAUCCCAGGUGGAGGAGUAACCACCUGAAGUUUGCUGAGGGUAACUCCCGUAAGGUGAUUGACCAUACUGAGGUGGACCUGGAUAUGCUCCUGGUUGCAUGUAACCACCAUAACCAGGUUGUGCUGGCGGAGCACCAGGUGGUGCCCAGCUUGAUGGUGGGCGGGCUUGAUAACCACCUUGUUGUGGAUACCCUCCGCCCAUUGCUGAGUUUCUCAUACGGUUCUGCUAAAACAAAUCGUUAAAAUAAAAGGCUUAGGUAACUUUUUUACAGGGAAAUAAAACAAGGACACAGCAUAAGAACACACGAACACAGAGGCAGAGACAUAUAAAGCGGAAAACAAAGACUAGAUUGAGAGGCAUACACGUCAUUUACCAAAAUCAGUCCAAAUAGGAUCAACCAAGAUCAUAUCAUAUUCUAUAAGGGUAAUGGUGAUGCCUACAUACCGUACUGAUUGGUGAAAUUAUUGGGUUACUCCUGCAGAAGCCCAUCCCUUUCCCUAUUCGAGAUAAAUGGGUGCAAGAAAAAACACGGAUACUAUAGAAGCUUUUGCAGAAAAAGCAACAUAUAUAUACACAUGAAACCUAAUUUCUCAAAGGCAAAGUUUAUGAAGCAAAAUAACCUAAUACCAACUAAAGAGUGCUGUUUCAACAAUAUCAAUACUCAUGAAAGUCUAUUAGCAGACACAAGCUGGGGUAUAAACUCUCUAGAGUAAAUAAUGGCUGAAGGGUUCAAAGAGAAACGAAUUUAGGAUAAAAUGGGGAAAGCAAACAAGGCAGAAUAAAAACAGUUACUUGGUUAGCAAAAUAUUGACACAACUAAAUGGCUAAUAGGUCUUCAAAUGUCAGUCGCCCACCUUCGGUGUUACCUUGAUGAUUGAAUCUAGAAGUGAUAGCCGAAUGGAAGUGAUUUUGGACCAUAAAAAAUAAUGGAACACAAUAUAACAAAAACAGUAUUGCAUUUAUUGUAUAGAACAGGUUAGAAAUACUAUCACAGCAGGUUGGACUGAAACUAGUCAGAAACCACACAAAGGCUACCCAAACCAAUGUAGGAUUGGCCACCUUGGCUGUGACCAGAAGCGAUGAAAAUGUCUGCAUAUACUCCAUAAAAAUAGACAACAAGAUUUCUACUAUGACAAUACCAUUUAAAAAGUGAAUAUGCUAAGAAUAUUUCUUGGUAGCAAUACAAGUCAUGAAGAAUCAUGCUAAGCACAUUGUAAAUUGGAUUAUCAAGUGGAUGAAAAGUAGAUAUAAGCAAAGGCCGAUAAAAAACUGUCACAAUAAGAUAGUAACAGAAGCGUGAAACUCGUGUAGGAAGGUAGCGGCAAAAAAUGAGUAUGAGCAGAAGAAGAAGAAGCAACAUAUAAUCUUACAACUUCAAUAACAAUGUAAGGUAUAUCAAGAUAGAAUAUAUUUCUAUGUUAAGAAAAUCACAAAAAUAUCUUCACAUGGUUUAACAUAAAAUAAAAAACCUUCCCCUGCAAAUAAGCGGAGAGAAGAACAAUGCAUUCCAUUGUAGAUGCAGUUAUCGUGGAGCAAAUACCAAAGGAAACGAAGGCAUACGCAGAGUAUAAGUUUAGCAGCUGAUACAUUGACUAAGUGAAACUAGUAUAACCUACAUCACCUAUGAUCUGAAUAAUACAGUAUGUCGUCUACAUUUUAAGGGAAACACUAGAUAAACCUAAAGCUAAUGACAACUAAAUAAUGUAAUCACAACACAAUAUCAAUUUCAGGUAGAAAAAUAGACACUGCAGAAGCCUGCCACAAUCCAUAAACAAACACAACAAUCAAACAUACCUCGCCACUGAUGAUUUCAUUAACUAAUUGUUUAGCAUGUUCAAUCUGCUCGGUUAUCCCAUCAAUCUGCAAAGUUCGUUCUGGCGUUGGGUCUCCAGGGGGCAAAUGCAAAGGAAUAACCUGCAGACAAAUAACCACGGGAUGAAUAAGAUUUCACUAGCUGGAGACAAACAGAAGCUGAACAAUUGACAAAAAUACAAACCUGAAUUCGAGCUCCAGUCUUAGCUUGCAUAGAUUUGAUUGUCUCACCUCCUUUACCAAUAAUCAGACCAACCUAGAACAGUUUAUGUAUUACAUACAAGAUACAUGUUACAGAAAUUGGUCAAUCUCCAGAGCAUUAAGUACCUUAUUAUUUGGAAUUUUCAUAACAAACUGAUCAGCUCCUGCUUGUCCACCCAUCCUACGACCACCUCCACCAGAACCAGCUGUAUUACCUGCCUCAGCCUGAACCAAAAUAAUUAGAUACAGCAUUAGUAAUCUAGUUUUAUCACCUAAAAAACACUAUGAUUAGCACCAAAAGAGUAAGUACUACCUCUUGAAGGACGUCAGUGAUCAACUGCUCAGCUUUGGAAAUCUGGUCAGGCGUGCCAGUUAGGUCAACAGUCCUCGUAGUAGCAUUAGGGUCUGCAUCCAUAUCUCUAGUAACCUGAAUCUUAGCUCCAGACUGAAGUUGAAGAUACUUAAUAGUCUCUCCACCUUUACCAAUGAUAACACCAACUCUCAUAUUCGGAAUAUCAAUCUUCUUAGUAGUUCCUUGAAAGCUACCAUACGAAACCGGUAUCGAAGACGGAGGCGUCCCUGACAUCUGCUUACCCUCUAAAUCAAAGAUCAAAUCACAAGUUUAAUUCCAAACCCUAAAUUCCAUAAACACAACAAGUUUAAGAGAUUUCGAGAACGAACCAGAAGGAUAUGAGCUAAAUCCUUUAUUAUCACCAUAAUCAUAAGAAGCACCAUUCUCAACACGAGGACGUUUAGCAUCAGCACUAUUAAGAAGACGAGCAGCGAUUUCUUGUGCUUUUUGUUUAGCAAUCUGGAUUUCAUCCAUCGGAGGAGGAACGCUGUUGUAAGAAGACGGUGGAGGAACGGCGGAUGCGGUGAGAUCAGGUGAAGCAGAUGGGAUCGGACCUGAAGAGAAACCGGUGGGUCUGCGAGUUGAUGGAGGAGGAGCGGUUUGUUCUUCGUAUUUGCGUUUGUUGGAGUAAGUGUCAGAUGAGUAUUGAGAUUCGUCCGCCAUGGUCGAAGAGCUUUGUGGAUUUGAGAGAAACCCUAGAAAGAGGCGGAGAUAAGGAAGAAGCAAAUAAGACUGAGAGGUAUAAAGAUUAUUUAUAUAUGCGGACCAAAACCUUGCUGUUAUUAUAUACAGAUACUAGAUUUUAAACCUACGGUGUAUUUAAUUUUAAAGUUAGUAUAAAAAUAUUUUGUAAAUUGUAUUUCCUUAUAACAUAUUUAUUUAUAUUAUAGUUUACAAUUGUUAUUAAGUAACGAUAUACCACGAGUCCACGAGAUAAUUAUUAAUAAACUGAGGAUUUAACCCGUAUUAAAGCGGUAUAUAAAUAUUGAUUCAAAUUCGUCCGCCAUAUAAAUCAUUUCCGAAAUAUAACCCGUUCCGUAAUUUCUUAACCCGUCCUGUGAUUUGUAUUAAAAAAAAUAAGGAUUAAAUCCGUAUUGAAGCGGCGGAUUAAUGAUAUUUUAAUCUUUUUAUUAUUGUUGAUUCAAAAACCCGUCCCGCCAAACCCGUCCCGCCAAAAAACUCAUUUAUUUUAUUAAUGUUCUUAUUUAUGAUAUGAUUCUGAAUCAUUGUCUAAAUAUUUUAAUCGAUGUAGAACGUUGAACACACAUUUUCGUCAAUUGGAUAAUAUAUGUCCGUUUUUAAAAUUUUGAAUCACAGUAUAUGCAGAAAAAAAUUGAUUUUUUUUUUACUUUAUGUAUUAUAUGAUGAUUCAAAACAGUUAAAAACAAAUCAAACAAAGAUGAUAGGAGAAUCAUAAUUAUAAAUCUUAAUCAAAUCUUCUAAAAAUCUAAAUUAUUAAAUAUGGAAUAUCCGGUGUAUGAGUUGGGUUAAAUAUAACCCGACCCAACAAAUUUUUUGUGAAGGAAUUUUUAAAAUGGAUCGGAUAUCCGAUAUACCCGAAAGCUUUUUUACCCACCCGUCACAAAAAGUGUUGCGAUUAUACUAGUAUAGAUUUUUCCCUUAUUUAAUUUUUUCUUUUUUACCGCUUUUUCUUUUUAGUUUUAUUAACUUUUAACUUUUUUUCUUUACACAAUUUAGGUUUAGAACUUGAUCGGUUCUCCUAUAAGUUUACACAAAUACUACAGCUGCAAAUGGAUGACAUAUAGAUGAAUGGUUAGAAAAUUUUGAGUUGAACAAAAAAAGUUGAACAUCAUUCAACUCAUUCCUCUGCGAAAUAGUAGUUGAAAGGGUUAAACAAUUUUCCAUCAUAAUCUAUUCAUUUUUCUAACUUUUGGGGUUGAAUGGGUUGAAUCAAUUUUCCAACUUAUUCAUCUCAAAUAAUAAAAAUAAGAUGAAUGGUCAUUCAACUCUUUCAACCUUUUAUUUUAAGUCUACUAUUCAAACGUCACAUUUGCUAUUGUUUAAAACUAAUUACAAAAAUUCUUUUAUACCGUUCUGGACUAUUCGAAAUUAUUAAAAUUUAAAAAAUUUCUUCAUAUAAGCAUUUUUUACUGCAGAUGACUAAAAAAAUGUCACAUAAAUAACAUAAAAAUUUAUUUUAUUAUCAAAUCUUAUAUAUAUUCAAGUUAAUUCUCAAACACUAAUCAUUCUCUCACCUUAAUUUCCCAAUAUGAAUAAUCAUUUGUUUUUUACUUAGGUGUAAAAUAGAAUUCUAAGCCCAAAUUAAAUUUCUCGCUAAUCGUUUAAAGGCCCAAACAACAUAUAUAUUUUGCCACCAAACUCUCCGACUUUACCCCCACGCGCCUUCGGAAAUGAGUCUUCAUUUAUGUCAGACGAAUUAAUGCUGCGUAAAUUCCCAGUCGAAUAGCGUGUUAUUUUCAAACAUUGCAUUAUGUUUUUGUUACUUUAUUAUUUUUGAGACGGGACGUUUGGGUGUCCAUCUGUCCAACCCUUCGAUAUCCCACCUUCUCGCACCCUAACCCUAUUUCUACUGUCAUCUGUCUGGGCAAUACUAUUCAUUGCACCGAUAAACCUUCUUCUUUAUUCUCCACUCUUCUUUUUCUAAAUCCUCUGUAGCUCUCAAUUUCGCACAUCAGUUGAAAUAGUUUUAGUCGGAUUCUUUGCUUUAAUCGGAAGUCCUCGCAUCCGUCCUCAGUCUCGUCCGGUCGGUGGUAGAUCAGAAUUGCUUUUCUUUACCGAAAUUGUUUCUAAAUUUUUUGUUUUCGACUCGCCCUCUUUCUUUCGGUUUUCUCUUGUUAAUUAUUGUCACUAAAUUUUCCGUUCUCGCAUGCAUAUCUCUUUGGGUUUUGGUUUUGGUUUUGGGUUUCUCUUCCAGAUCUACAUUUAUUAUUAGACAUCCUUUUUUCAAUUCGCACUCUACAAAACAACUUACGGCUGGAUCUUUUUGAUAUAGAUUUGUUUCCAUUUUCAAACAUAUAUCUAACCCUAUCUUUUUUGCUUGUUAGAUAUGGAAAACCGUGGCCUACCAUCUCGUAUAUUCGCUGAUUUGGAAGAACCUGCUGGUGAUAGGGUCAAUCAGUAUUUCAAGCUUAAUACCAUUCGGGUUGUUCUGAGGGCUCUUCAGCCUGAAGAACUUGACCAAAUCCGUCCGUUUUUUGGGAAACUGCUUGAGAUGUACGCUAAACCCGUCUUUUCUGGCAAACUGACUCAUUUUCUGCUUACGCGGCAGUUGGAUGUGGUCAAGCGGCACGAGAUCUGGGUUGUUUUCGCUGGGAAACCGUUUAGGUUUUCCCUGAGGGAGUUCGGAAUUGUAACCGGUCUAAACUGUAGGCCUCUGCCGCCGAUUGAUCAGUCUCUGGUCAAGUGUCCGCCUGGUGUUACGCCUUACUGGUUCACGCUAUUUGGAGGCGAAGAGUUUGUCACCGCGGAGAUGUUACAGGCGAAGCUUCGGAGGCCGCGGGCGCUGACCAGUGAGUUAAGGGUUAAGUACGCAUGUCUUCUGCUCGUUGAUGGUCUUUUAUGCCGCCGGUCGUUUAACAUGAAAAUUCCUAAAGAACAUGUUGAGAUGAUUCGCAGCCUUGAUGUUUUUUUGAACUAUCCCUGGGGUCGAUACAGCUUUGACAUGACGAUGUAAUGCAUCAAGUCCAGGGCGGUUAAUCAAUUGGCGCAGGCAACAGUCGCUAUCCAAGGUUUUAUCCAUGCUCUACAGCUUGUUUUUGUCGAGGCUGUUCCAGAUGUCCUAGAUGCUGUUGGCGAUGCGACGGAUCCUGAGUCUGGUGGUGAAGAAGUGUUUCCUGUUAUUUCGUUGAAGCUGGAUAAGGUCUGGGAUUUAGAUGCUCAAGGGGAGGUCUGUUCACAUCUAUUUAUAUCUUAACACCUUUAAUUGAUACUAUAGCCCUCCAUAUAGUCAUAUUUAUAUCUAAUCUUACCUUGUUUUUCAUCUAAUUUCCCUUAGGUCCAAGUUCUUCCAAUUAUUCCUGCCAAUGAGGAAGGUGAUGUUGUUGAUGAGGGUCUUGCGGAUUGCAGUUGGCCGGAUGAAGUUGGCGAUCCCAGUGUUGAAUUCCUGCUUCACCAGUUGGAGGAAGGGGUUGUGUUUAAGCGUGACAUGUUUGUAGGUGGUUUUAGAGGUCUCGCUGCUCCUGCGCAGCCUCCUUCUCGUGUUGUCAAGAAAGGGAAACGCAAAUGUAAUGCCAAGUUGUUGCCUAAAGAGAUGUCAAAUGGUGAGGCUUCUUCAUCUAAGAAACUGAAGAUGCGGUCCCAGCGUGCCAAGUUUGAUAGUGUCGACCCAAAUUCUAAGUUGCUUGCUGCUGUAUCUUCCCAAAUUCGGGCUGGUCUGAAAGAAUCUCAAUCCGCUGUUUACGCAAACCUCUGUAUUGAUAUCAAAGAGAUGGAGUUGCGCCUCCAGCAAAGUUUCAAACAAAACAUUUUCUCUGUUGUCGCUGAAUACUUAGCUGCCAAAGACACUGUCAACACUGUAGUAGACGCUCUUGGGUCUGGAGGAGGCCGUCCUGUUUCCCACCUAAACCAGGACCCGGUUCAACCUGAUCCUCUGCUUUCUGACCCUUACGCACCCGCUAAACUCUCAUCUCCAAAGGUUAGCUGGAUGUUGCCUAAAGCUAUUUAAUUACACCAUUGCUUCCUUGUCAUUCUUUUCUUAAUCCUUUCUAUUUUUCAAGGAUACUACUCCAACUGUCCAAGGUGAAACUGGCAGCUCCUCUGCGGCUGCAAGCGGGGAGAAGGUUUGUUUUCUUUCCCUUAUAAUGUUCUUUAUAUUUAGUCCAAAUUUCAUAGAUUUGUAACUAUUAUAUUUGUAGUCAUCCGGAGGUGAUACUGUUGUGCAAUUCUCUGAACAACUCCCCGAUUCUGCUACUGAGGUUGACCCUUCUUCUGAUAAGUUCAAACUCCUAAUCACGCAUAUGGUUCCGACUUUGUAAGUAUGCCUUUCCUUGGUUUUAAAUGUUCACUUUUUUGGGUAUCUAUUAUUCUAAUUCAACAUUCAACUCUGCAUAUGGGGAUGUAUGUUCAUUUGUUAAUGGUUAUGAUUUCAUAUAUUUUGUUGUGUAGGGAAUUAUCGGUUGGCGAGGGUUUAGUCCUUAAAGACAAAGAUGUUCUUAACAUACCCAUCAUUAUUCCACCAGACUCUCCCCAGGUCUGCACCAAUGUCUGUUUCUCCUUCCCUUAUUAUUUUCAUACUUUAUUACUUAUUUGCCCUACAUGUAGGUCAUGGAUUCUUGUGUUCUUGUCCUGAGAGACUCUCUCUUCAACAAUGUUGAUCCUGCCUCUGAUCCUAGAGCCGAGUUUAUGCGGUCUAACUUCCCUGGCUCCUUUGCUGUUCUCUAUGCAAAGUUUAAGAAGACUUCUCGGAAAGAAUUGUUUGAUUUUGACCCUGAAGUUCUGGCAGCGGUCAUUGACAGGUCUAAGCUUAAUGGUCGGGAGUGGAUCAUUGACAUUGAUUUCUUGUACUUCCUGUUUAAUAUCGAUAAGAAUCGAUGGAUUGCUGUCAUGGUCAACUUGCGUAAUCAUGUGCUCACAGUCUUUGAUCCCAAUGCUGAUGCUUGCCGUGGCUCCCGAUUGAAACCCCAGCUCGAUUUCGUCUGCGAGAUGUUUCCCUACUUUGUGCGUAAAGUUGGUCUCAAUGACAUGAUGUCAUCUUUUUCAUUGGAGCCGUUGGCAUUCCACCGCGAUACCUCUGUUGUCCAAGCUUCUGUUCGUUCCAAUACUGGGAUCUUAUCUCUUCUGUUUAUGGAGGCUCAUGCCUUCGGUGGGUUGGAGAAGGUGUACAAGGUCAACGAGUCUGCUAUCCGUUCGCGGGCUGAAAGCUUGGCGGUUGAGCUUUAUGAGCACUGCUGCGGUGAGCUCGUUGUUGAAUAAGUAGACGACUCUUCUGUCUGUUUUUUUGCUUUUUAUCUUCAACUAUGUUCUCUAUCAACGCUGUGUGUUUUUGGACAUUUCCCUUAUUCGCGAUGUUUUUUGGUUUUGCUGCUAAUUAGUUUUCAAUGUUGCGGAUGCUAUCCAUGUACUCUUUACCCCCUAAGCUAUAUAUUAAUUACUAUAUAAUUGCUUCCAUUUAAUUUGUCAAUCUUAAAGCAUUAUGUAUGUUAUUAUCCAUCUAUGUUUGCUUGUAUACAUGCAAUUUUUUUUGUAGGCAUAUAUUUUAGAUUAUAUAACUGUCUAUUUUUUUGGUUGCCCUCUAUUCGCGUGACUAUCUUUUAGAGGUUUUUUCUGUUUUCGGGCACUUAUGCUGGUAUGUGUUUUUUUUUUUUUUUGGUCAAAUGCUAUUAUGUGUUUUCACUUCUACUUUUUUACGCAACAUAGACAAGUUCGGCUUUAUGUGUAGCAUUUAUAAAACCAUUUGCACAUGAUAUCUUAUACAUUACACUAAAAUUAGAACAUUUUUUUACAAAAUAUGCCAGAUAAUUAAUUUAUAUUAGCGAUGGUUCUUGAAGUAGAUACGAAGAAACAGACCAAUGCACAAUAGGUUUGCUACCUACAGAUUAAAAUACAUCGAUACUUGUACUUGAUGGAGAUACAGCGAAAUAGAACUCUACUUAGUAAUUUAGCUAGCUAUAGACAUAAGUACAUCAAUCUGCCCCGCCUUUAUGUCGGGGUUUGUUGUUCGGCUUACCUUAAUCCAUGGACGACCGUCGCCACUACACAAAUAAACCCAACCCACGAUAUUAGAACAAAGUGGCGGAGCGUUUGUUCGGCUUGGUGGCUUACCUGAAGUUCACUCCUAAGGAUUAUGUUUUCCUUCUCCAACUUCUCUAUCGAGCUUUCUCCCUCUUCUUUUGCAAUGUCUGCCUCGGUUUUCGGUUCCUCUUUUGCGGCUUCUUGAAGAAGUUUUAUCGUUUCCUUCUGCGCUCUUAUCACAUCUCGCGCCUCCAGUAAAGCUGUUUUCUGCCAGCCGUGUGGUUUUUCGAGGUCGCGCCACUGGAAGAAGUCGCAAACGCUUCUCCACGCGGCGCCGCAGCCGUAGAAACGUCUCCCUGGGUUUGCAUCGGUCCACGCUUGCCGGAUCGUUGCUGGUUUACCGCAGUCGCAGAGAAACCCUUGGUCCGGCGGCAUGGUGGUCUGUGUCAUUCUCGUAGAGCUCGAAGAAUUUCCAGAAGUUUCGCUAAUCAUUUUUUCUAGAUCUAGGUUAGAUUGUGUAUUUUUGGUUGGGGGCUUGGUUGGGUAGCUAGUAUUUAUGGCGGCUCCUCGACUUUAUGUGGCCCACACAGUGGGGAUUAGUUGUUGUCUGUCGAACCUAAUUUCCGAAAUUAGGUUUGCUUUCCACUGGGAUAGCCCUCCAAUUAUAUAUAUAUAAUUGUAUGCGAUUUUGUAUAAUGGUAUUUUAUUGGGUGGAUUGUCACUGAUAUCAAAUAUAGGCCGUCGUUGCUAUUACUUAAGGUCUCCAGUUAUAUUUAUGUUUGCCGUAGGUAGGUUAUAUAUGAAGUCGGUUUUUAAACGAGAAUCAUAACUGAAUUCAUAAAUAUAUUACAUUACAAGGCGUGCGGACUCAAACGAUCGACGCAUUACACCUUGUUAGGAGAAGUUCAACAUAAUUUGAAGACAAUGGUGGAAGGCAUGUUCGCACCCAUACUAAUACAACUUAAACGGAGGGGAUCUACUUCACUAUCUUACAAACAAAACACAAAAGCUUCCGACUCAUAAACCCCGAUACUUCAAGCAAACAUCCGUCUAGCUGCUUUACACAUUGAAAAUAUGCAGCUCCAUAUAUCUGCAUAAGCGUUUAUAUUUGGUUAUUAUUCGCUAUUUGAUUAAUUAGUAUUCAAAUAGUAUGUUUGUUAACUUAGGAUGGUUUACCUUACAUAGGCCUCUUGAACCCUUAGAUUGUCAUCUUGCAAGUCGCCCGGUUAUGCCCAGGCCCGGUUAUGCCCAGGCCCACGACAACGGGUACAGCUCCGUUUCGCCUUCUUCCUCGUCAGCUGCAUAUUAAUUCACAACAACUGUCAAUUGUAGCGCUGUAUCAUAAUUUAUACAUUGCUAUAAUACGUCUUAUUACCAACUAACUACCUUAAACUCUCCACUUGAUAGGUAUCUAGAACGCUUUGGCCUACCUGGUGGCCUUUUGGUCAGGGGAGGGUGAACUGUCCUUGUCGCAAUUGUAUUUGGUAUGUCGCGGAGAGUGCUCAUGUCGGGCACCGAAUAUAUGCUGCCAUUGUAGGCUAAGCUCCAGAAAAACGUACCGUAGUGGGGAGCAGCCAGCUCCUCAACUUUGAUGUCUGUCUGUCCAGCAGCUGCUAUAGCGUGGCUGCAAGGUAUUUUGAGCAGAGUGAACUCUUCACAUGUGCAAGAUUUAUUUUGGAGGUCCACAAUAUAAGAUAACCAUGUUGGAGUUUUCACUUCAUAGACAUCCUUGCUGAUUUGUAGCACUUCAUACGCUGUUGAUCUCACGUAACUUUUGUUAACAAUCUCCUCCACUUUCGGCGUUAGGGCACUAUCAUGACGCAUUGCCUUAUCCCGCCUCUUUGUAAACCAUGAUGUAAGUGUACCUCUGAUGUACUCGAGAAUUGACACAAGAGGCAUCUCUCUGGCCUCCUUUAGCACGGCAUUGAGUGACUCCGCGACGUUGGAGGUCAUUAUGUUGUACCGAUCGCCAUCGCAGUGCGACCUUGUCCACUGGUGCAAUCCAAUUGACAUCAAGUACUCAGCGCAUUCAGGAGAUACACGCUCUAUUUCUGCAAAGUAUUCGUGGAAUGUAGUUUUCCGGAAAGCUCUAGCUGCCUUUGAGAUCAGGGCUGCUAGGACGCGUAUCUUAAACUUCGCCGCUACGUUUCUUUGCAGAUGUACGAUACAAGCACCAUGAGAGGCCGCGGGAUACACCUGUAGAUGUUUUUGAAAUUAGACAUUUUUAUUUAUUAUUGUAACUACUGAUAUUAAACAUAGUCAAGUACAUACGCAAAUAAGGAUAUAAGUAUUUUCUUGGGGCGUUAUUUCAUUAAGUAGACAUACCUUGUCGAUGCCGCUAUGAAUUGAUGAGUGGCGGUCAGAGACAAAAGUCAGGGUUUCAUCGUCCGGAAUGAAUUUUUUUAGGCAGCUAAAGAACCAUUCCCACGCCUUGUCAUUUUCACUGUCCACGAUUGCGAACGCGAUGGGAAAAAUUUGGAAGUUACCGUCUUGCGCACUAGCCGUAAGAAGGCAGCCCGCAUAACGACCUCGCAAAUGAGCCCCAUCUAUUAUCAGUACAUUUCUCAUGAACCUCCACCCCUUCACACUGGCCCCAAGCGCCACAAAGCAAUACUUAAACCUCUCAUCCCCGUUGACAUCAACCUCUGUCUGUAGCUCCGUUAUAGUCCCCGUGUUUGCUUGCUCUAGCAUGUGGAAGUAUGUGGGAAGUAGACGGAAACUCCCUGCUGCCGAACCCUUCGCCAUAUCCAUUGCUAGCUCCCUCGCCCUCCACGCCUUCCAAUAUGAGACAUUCACACUAUGCUCGUCUCGCAAGGCCUGGCGGAGUGCAAUGGGGCUUGGACCAACCCCAACACCACUGUAUCUUGAUCUCAUUAUUUCGGAUAUGACUGAAGUGGUGGCUUGCCUUUGAAACAUGUUUCUUGCCUCAAUUGGGCAUGUAUGUUCUAGUUCAGCCGUUCAGAUUUGGAAAUAGUCUGUGUCGUCCAGGCGGACCACGUAAACUCUCCAGCGACACGCGUCAGACACACACCGGACUAUGACCACGUCAUUGGUGGUCCUAUCAUUACGGAAGCUAAACCUUCGAUUUAUCGCAUGGAUUGCUAUCUUCACCCUGCAGUCGUCUCUGUUCUUAAAUACCCGUCCGAUGAAGAGCUCAUCUCCUUCGUAGUCCCCAUCAAGCACAACCAUCCUUGUUCUAUCCCGGCCUGAGUGCAAAUGUAACAUAAAAAUUCCAGAUAAAUAUCUAUUUAGUCUGAUAGAUGUUGUGGUGCACGUAACCUACAUGUUUUUAGAGAUCUCUACAAAAUUAUUUAACCCUUACUUUCUGGGUCUGUAUCAUCGAUUACUGGUGCUGCGUCCCUAGCGAAGGUCGCAUCUGGCAUGUUUAGAUAUCGGAACAAGCCUUCAGUUGGAUUGCUUGCAGAUUGGCGGUUUGAUGUUUCGGAAAUCGCAUCACCCCCUACAAAUAUAGAUUAUGCAAAACAUUAAAAUAUAUAGCUCUAUAUAUUAAUAAUAUCCGCUGCACAAAAAUUUACAUGGGAUAACCGUUCCCGAUACCUCCUUCCUGUUGCGAUACAUUCUCCGUCCCAGGUGCCUGUAUAGAACCCGUGUUUUCACUUCCAUGUGCCUGCUCUGAGCUGUCUCCUUCGCCCUCUAGGUAAUUUAUGGGUUGUUAGGACAGAUAGAUAUUUACUUAGAAUGAUAGAGCACUAUAUUUAACUUCGCUUACCUUUUUCAAAGUCUUUGAACAGAUUCCUAGUCAAACGCGUCACCCGUAGGUUGGCCUCCUCACCGUCUGAACUUUCAGCUGGGUGUAGGACACUCACUGGAAACCUAUUCACGGUUUGCUCAUUUCCAGUAUACUUGAAAUGCCUAGCUGCUGCGGUUAGUGUUGGGAACCCUCGUGCUAGGUAUGUACUCCCUAUCCAUCCGGGUGCACUGCUACUUCCUCCGUCAUUCCGUGGUAGUUGGCUACAGAUGACGCCGUCAAUCGCCUCUUUUGCAGCUCUGCGCUCCAUUUCCUUGGCUACCUCAUCCUUGCUCAUCACCUCCCCAAAGCUGUGGUCAGUUACAACUGGAACAACUUUGAAGCCGUCAAUCUCGAGGCUCAUGUUUAGAGGCAUUGGAACUGCUAGCAGUGUCAUAUCAUGGAUAUCCACACGGAUCGCCAAGAACAUGUCCAUAUCAUCGUCGCUGACGAUGUGUAUCGGAACUGGCUUCACCGUCCCAUCAACAUCCAUCCAUUCCGGCAUCUGGUACGUCAUCUCAAUCUUCUCCUUCGUCGUGUCAAUGCUGAGCUCCGUCAUAACCUUCGUUUUGGUUGCCUCCACGCCAGCACCCUCCCUUAACCGCACGUAUUUGGAUGGCCUGUCCGAGAACUCCACGAACCUCCACACACCGCCUCCAUCUUUCAUCCACCAUCCUUGCUGAACUCGAACCUCACCGGAAUAUGAUUCGUCUGUCACCUCCAUUUGUAAAUCACCUGUAUAUACCAAUAACAACCGACUUACUAACUUGGGAAAAUAUUUGACUCUAUAAUUGUUUAUGAAGAAGCACUACCUCUAUCUCUGUUAUUGAUCUAUCUUGCCGAUGUAGAGACUUACACUUUUUUUUCUUUUGCUUUUUUUUUCCUCGGUAGCACACCCAAAUAGCCCGGCGUUGUUCCCCUAUUUAUUGAACAUCCACGCUUCGAGGUUAGGGCUUCAAAAUUUUAAAUUCCCGCCCGUUUGCUUCACUUCAAACAGGCGACAUGAGUAUUAAAUGCGUGCGCAGUCAUCACAUCAUCGUCAAUUCAUUCCUUCUGUCGCCGCAUAAGUGUCCUUUCACCUGCGGUGCAUUAAAUGCUGAAGCUUCGGAAGUCAACUUUUUUGCAUACGCGCGCCUCAUGGUUUUUCCGUAAAUAGAUUGAUUUGCAGACCCAAUUUUUGAUGAUUUAUAUCGUCCUUCCUAGGUAGACAAACAGAUUGUCUCUGACCUUAUUUAUUUGCCCAUUUUUCACUCUCACCAAAUCGUCCCUAAAUUUAUUUGUAGGGGCAAAUGGGUAUUGGGUCCGGAUUCGGAUAGGACAUGAUCAGGUCCGGGUCAACGUGUAAUUGAAUUUAAGACCCAAUAGGGUAAUUAUAAAAACUUGGGUCAGGUUCGGUUCAGGUGCUGUAGGAUUUUGGUCGGUUCGGAUUUAGUUUUUCAAAACCCAAAAAUUACUCAAAAUAACGGGUAUCCAAAAAACUUUUAAAAAUGGUUAAAUUUAAAUAAAGUUGGAUAUAGUUGAAUAAAUUUGGCUAAAUUUUGCCAAAUAUUAUAAAUAAUUAUUUGAUAUUUUGGUUAUUUAGGGUAUUUAGGUCUAAAACCAAUUGAUAUAUCUAUACUAGUAUUUUUGAAGUACAUUUUUAGCGGGUGGGUUAAAUUGUUAUCCGACAAAUUUGGUACCCGACCCCAUAAGAAAUUUUCUUCAUAAAUCUUACACCGGAUAUUUCAUAUCGUUUUUGGAUCGGGUCAAAACAUAUCCAAAAUUAUGAACCGGAUAUUCCAUAAUUAAAAAUAUAGAUAUUUAGAAGAUUUUAUUAGGGAAAUUGUUAAAAAUACCCCUUUUGGUGUGCCCCUUUUCAAAAAUGCCCCUUUUAGAUGUCCAUUUUCAAAAAUGCUCAUUUUUAAAUUUGAAAUUUUUAUAAAGUUUUAUUAGGUUUAUAAGGUACUUAUGGAUUGUAACUACUACUUGAAGACUCGAUCCAAGUAUUUAUAAGGUUUUAUAAGGUGUUUUUAAAGGUUUUACAAGUUAUUUUAAAGGAUUUUAAAGGUUUUUCAAAGGUUUUACAAGAUAUUUUAAAGGUUUUUAAAGGUAUUUAAAAUGCAUUUAUAAGGUAUUUAUAAAGUAUUUGUAAGAUUUUAGAUACAUAGAAAUGUAGUUUGUGUAUGUUUUAAUAAUAUUACAUACAUAUUUGGGUAAAUCUUAUAUUUUUAAGAGCAUUUUUAUAAGGUUUUUAAAAAGGGGUAUUUUUGAAAAGUGGCAUUGAAAAAGUGGCAUUUUUGCAAAAACCCCAUUUUAUUAAGAUUUAGAAAUCUAAUUCUCAUAUCAUCUUUGUUUUAACAUUUUUUAACUGUUUUGAAUCAUCAUAUAAUACAUAAAGUUAAAACAAAAUCUCAAUUUUUUUCUUCAUAUAUUGGGAUUUGAAAUUUUUAAAACGGAUAUAUAUUACCCAAUUGAUGAAAAAGGUGUGUGUUCAACGUCCCAUAUGGGCUAAAAUAUUUAGAUAUUGAUUCAGAAUCAUAUUAUAAACUAGAAUCUAACCCGCGGUACACCGCGGGGCUAUAUAUUUAUAAAGAAAUAUAUUUAUAAAGAAAUGUAAUUUUUUUUAUAAAGAUUAACUAAAGAUAUAUCAUAUUAAUUUGUAUUUUUUAAAUGUAGAUAUCUAUCUGUGUAUUAUUUAGUGUAUGAUUAUUAUUGUUUAGGUUUCAAAUUUUAAUGUAUAGAUGCGAAAACAUACAGUUUAUUAAGUAACGAUGUAUGGUGGAUUUAAAAAUUUGAAUAUUUUACCCCACACUAUAUUGCUUGUUUUGUUUCAUGGUAUACCGUGAGACUAUAUGCUAAUUUAAAAUUAUAAUGUUAAAGAUUUGAUGAGUAUAUAUAGCUGUAUAUUUUAAAGAUUUGAUGAGUAUAUAUAGUUACAAAUCCAUAUCUAUAUAUUAUAUUGUUUACGAUAAACAUGUUUUCAGAUUUUUCAGAUUAUAUAGAUAAUAGUUUUAAUUGAGUAGUAAGAUUUUUGGUUUACUAUAUCUUGAUUAAAUUAAUAAAUAUAUAGAGAAUUAAGUCUAAAAUUUAUAAAAUAAAAUAAAAUUUAGAGAAUCAAGUCUAAAAUCCACGACUCUUACUGCUACAAUUCUGACAAAAAUAAGCUACAAAUAUAUGUACAAAAACCCGUAAUUGUUACAAAGUUGUUAAUGGGAGAAAAUCAAAACCAUUGAGAUUCUCUUGAAACUAAUAAGUAAUAAAACAAACAAAAUUCAAUAUUAUCUCAUUUCUCGUAAGAGAAAAGUCACUCAACGAUGUUGGUUACACAACGGAUCUUUACCUGAAAAUAUUCAUUGUAAAACAAAAUUUUAAUUAAAAAAAUUUGGAAAAUAAUGUUAAAAACAAAUUGUUGAUGUAAAAUGGCGCUUUGAAUACUAUGUUAUUGUUGAAGAAGCGAGUCGUCACGUCUUCUUGACUCAGACGGAGUUGUAACAGUUGCCGCAGUAGACGACGGUGUAGUCACCGUUGAAGACGACAAUUUGCAGACGACAAUUUGCAGAAAGUCAUUGUUUUAUUUUCCAUCUAAAGGAUUUGUCCCUUCUACAAAAAUGAAAAAAAUAUUAUGAGAAAAGAAAAAACAUUGCAGAUUAUAAGAAAGAUUAAGAUAUACUCACGUUAAUGCAGUUAUGUGAUUACAAAAAAAAACAGAAUCUCAAACAUAAAAAUUAAAUUUGAAUUAAGAACAAAGAUUACCUUAUGAAUAUACCUUGAAGGAUGUAUGUGCUAUUUUUGCUAGAGGCGAGUAUAGUUUGGAAUGAGAUUAGAAAAAUAUUUGCUUGAUGAAUCUAGUAGUGGAGUAAAGAUUGGUAUUUAUUGAGAAGGUAGAAGUCUAGGUUUAUGGUUUAGGUGAUAUGAGAAUAUCAAAGAUACGAAUAAAAAAAAUGGUUAUCACAAUGAAUGAUUGUAAUAAUUAAGGGAAGAUUAGGAAAUUAGGAGAUACAAACUUUAUCUCUAAAAGAUUGAUGAUGAUUUGGUUUAGGUAACGUUAGUUUAUCAUUAAUUUGGAGAAUAUGCCAUUAAUUUGUUUCUCAUUUCAGUUAACCGAGAAUCGAUAUAUUGACCCGAUUCGCUAAUGAUUGUUUUAAUUAGUAGAGAAAUUAGUGUUUGCCAUUAGUAUAAAUCGUAUAUGGAGUUAAGACAUUGUUUCUAUUACUGAAAAUAAUUGAAUGCUGUUUUAUAUGUUUGAGAUAUUUGUCGAGAUAUUAGAAAAUAUUUUGGCGAGAUUUUUGGUAACAAUUUGAGUAACGAAAUAAAAUUAAAAAUCUUUAUUCAAAUUAAACAAAUCUAAACAAUUAAUGUCAAUGGCAUUCAUCCGUAAAUACUACCCAACCCCAGGAUUUAUUUGCUAAAUGUACUCAAAAAAUGUAUAUAUAGAUAAGAUCAAAAUAAAUUCAAAUCCGAAUGAACAAGAAGCUCAACUUAAUAAGCAUCCAAAUUAAAAUUAUAUACCGUUUCAUUCGAUUUUUUAAGUUUAACUUCUUAAUUUUACCAGAAAUAUUAAAUUUUAAACUUUUAAGAAGUUAUUUAAUAAUAGAAUUCAUAUAUUUAAAAUCAAUAAAAAGUUUAUAAUAUUAUGAACAUUUGAACAUAUAUAAAGAGUUACAAUAACACAAGACAUGUUAUAUUGUUAGACGAGGUUAUAUAAUGGGACGAGUUUUUAAGAAGUUUUAAAUAUUAUAAUUCAUAUAUUUAAAAUUAAUAAAAAAAUAUAUAAUAUUAAAAACAUUUGAACAUAUAUAAAGAGUUAAAAUAAUAUGGGACGGUUAUAUUGGUGGACGGGGUUAUAUUUAGGACGUGAUUAUAUGACGGGACGAGUUUGAAUCAAAAAAAAUUUAAACAUCAUUAACCCGCUGCUUUAAUACGGAUUAAAUCUUCAUUUUAUUAUUUGUUUAACACCACCAAUAUUAGAGAUAUCGAAUGAUCUUGAUUAAAAUAAAACUGUAUAAAACAAAAAAAAAAAAUUUGGUCUACCAUUACUUAAUAGCAAUUGUAAACUAUAAAAUAUAAAUGUCUUAUAAAAUGAUACAAUUUGCAAAUUUAUAGAUAUAAUUUAUAACCGUUAAAUUUUAGAAAUUACAAAUUAAAAAAAAAACGUCUCAAGGUGUAUGUUGAUGAUCCGAAAGUAAACACAAAUAAAUAUCAUUACAAUUCUAUGACAUGAAGGAACGGAAGACAAACUUGAGCCUUGGUCAUGAUCUAGACAUGGAUUCUUCUCGUUUUCCUUCAUGGCCCGAGCUUCUUAGGUUCGGUUCGUUGCUUUAUAAAUUGGGUUUUCUGCAAAACAACCCUCUAAGUCAAUUUCGUUUGCAAGUUUACCUUCCAAGUCUGAAUUAUGCAAGUCAACCCUACAAUCUCAAAAGUCACCCGCAAUACUACCCUCCCGUGUAGCGAUGACGUGGCAGUCGAUAACUCCGUUUGAAAACAUAAGGGGUUUUUUGCAUUUUUUUUGCAAAAAACCCUCCAUGUAAUUUUUUUUUUGCAAGACAAACCUCCAUGUCAAAUAAAUGCAGGUCAAACCAUAAUCUCAAAAGUCACCUGCAAUAUAGCCCUUCCGUUUAUCGAUGACGUGGAAAUCGAUAACUAAUUUUAUGUAAUCAUGGAGGUGUGGGAGCAACCAUGGAGUUAAAGUCAAUUCUUUAAGGUUUAGAUUUGUUUUCUGAUAUUGGUUUUAAGAAUCUGUUUGUGUUGAUUUCAAAAUCUCUGCAGUAUAUCUUAGAUUUUGGUUCUAAUAAUUUACUCAUAAAACUCCAAAGAGGUUUCAUUUCAAAUGAUUUAAUAUACAAAGAUUUUACAAGUCUUUUAGUUUUGAAUAACAUUGGAUUUUAAUGAAGUAUUUUAAAUCUUAGUUGAAUAACACCAAACUAUUAAAAUCUAAUGAAGUAUAAAAUCCAAUAACACCAGAUUUUAAAGUUAGAUUUAGAAUCAUUAGUUGAAUAACACUGGAUUAGUGUUAGAUUUCAAUCUAUUAAAAUCAAUCAAUGAAUGACACCACCUAAAGGUUUACACCCAAAACUAUGGGCUUAUAAUUAUAUGAUGGGCUUACAAUUACUAAAAACGUUAUGGGUUUUUGCUGACAUUUAUUUUUUUUUGUCUUCCUUUAAAAAAAGGAAAUAAAUUUUAUUUUAGUUUUUUUCUUUUUCAAACACGUUCAAUCUUUUUUUUUUUUUUUUACGUCUGGAUUUAUUAUUUAUUGCAAAUUAUGAGAACUGUUACAUAGACGAUUUUACAACGGACAAUUCCUUCCGGCCCUUAUUAGAUCUACGACAGACGACACUUCCUUCUUCAUGCUAUUGACGGACACCUUCAAUGAUCCACGACCUGACGACACUUCUCUCUCUGCGUAGAAUCCUGGUGAACGGCUAUAAUUGUACAUCGCUGGAGAUCUCCUGCACACUUGCCUCCAUUAAUCUGCAAAUUUAUUAAUAAAUCGCAGUACCUGGGACUCGAACCCCAAACCUCUCGGUGUAGAAGCAUUAAUUAACCAUUGAUCAACCAAUCUUUUGAUUAACAUGUUCAAUCUUUUGCUUUAGAAUUUUUAUUUAAAAAAAUUAUGAAAUAGAAAUCUAUGUGGCAAAAUUCUAUUGGCUAGGUGACUUGUGCUUCAUAAUAUAAAGAAUUUUGGGUAAUUAGAUUUAUCUCAUAUUUUUCAUUCGAUUGCCAUCACAUGAUUAUUAAACCAAUCCAAACACACGACAAAGAAUAUACAAAGCAAAAGCCACAGAAAAAUCACUUAUAACAUGGAACAAACCAAACAUAAACCAAAGAAUUCUAAACGGGUAAUAAAAAUUGUUUCAUCAAAUAUAAAAAAAAAAUAUUCAAUCAUCGAGUUCAAGCUCCUAUAACAUCCAUCCAUAUAUUAUAAGUUAUUUUGUCUCUCCAAUUGUUAGCAUAUUCUUUUUGUUGGGAUUCAAAAAUUUCUACAUCUCCAUUUUCUUCAUAAUUGUUUUCUUCAUUGACGUUGCUAUUCUCUUCAUUAACAUUCAUCCAUAUAUUAUAAGUUAUUUCGUCUCUCCAAUUGUUACUAUAUUCUCUUUGUUGCGAUUCGAAAAUUCCUACAGCUUUUUAUUCAUAUAAAAACUCUUUCAAAUUAGUAGAUGGUACCAUGAUAUUUUGAAAGUUUAAUUUUCUUUUUGAAAAUCAACACAUUUUUUCUCCACAUAGUUUACUGGUUUUAUUGGUCUUGUUUUGUUUUAUUUUAUUGGCUAUUUCAUAUGGAUAUACAAUUAUAGAGAGAUAAAGCUGUAUCCCAUUUUUUCGAUUGUCAUCACAUGAUUCUUAAACCAAUCCAAAUACACGACAAAAAUAUAAAAAGCAAAAGCCACAGAAAAAUCACUUAUAACAUGAAACAAACCAAGAUGAAACCAAAGAAUUCUAAAUGGGUAAUAAAAAUUGUUUCAUCAAAUGUCCAAGCUCCUGUAACAUUUAUCCAUAUAUUAUAAGUUAUUUCGUCUCUCCAAUUGUUAGCAUAUUCUCUUUGUUGGGAUUCGAAAAUUCCUACAUCUCUAUUUUCUUCAUAAUUGUUUUUUUUCAUUGACUUUGCUAUUCUCUCCAUUUAUACCGAGUGCAUGCAAGAAAUAGUUCCUUUUUAGUCUUAAAAGGAUGUGGAGGUACAAAUUUGAAAAUUAGAAAACGAGAUUUGAAAUACCAAAGAUUCUUUCGAUGAAAUUUUCUAAAGAGGCAAUGACGUAGAUUGAAUAGCUCAUUCUAGGUUUGUGGUCCACGACCUUGACUUCAAAAUCUUAGAGGGUGAUAACGAGUACGCUGAAAUGGUGCUCCAAGAGGAAGAGUCCUUCCUCAGCGGGGGCUUAGACAAGGAGACCUCCUUUCGCCUUAAUACAAGAUAAAUUAUUCUUCUAAAUUUUAUAUAGAAGAACUUAUAUAUAUAUAUAUAUAUAUAUAUAUAUAUAUAUAUACAUUUUUGGAGAUAUUUAUGAAAUAAAUCUUGGAGUUCUAACUUAUUUACGAUCAAAUGCUAUUGACAUUAAUUAUUUAAAUUUACAAAAUUAAAUCAAAGAUAUUAACAUAAACAAAUCUUUCUAAAAAUCUUAACCUAAUAUAUUAACCAUAACUAAUUCUUGCCACAAUUACAUCCAUAUUCAUUUCGAUUUCCUUAAAAGAUCUCAACAAUCUCUACAUUUAAUUGUGGUCAUUCAAAUCUUAAGCCGAUUUUUAAAAUUCAAUCUUGACUGUCGGUCAUACGCAAUUAAUUCAGAAAUCAUUAUAUAGAAUUAAUUGUUAUUAACUAAAAUUUAAUAUAUAUAUAUACUAGCGUUAGAACCCGUACUACGUACGGGACCAAAAUAUUUACUUGUAUUUGUGUUAAAGAUUUAUUGUAUUUUUUUGGUAAGUAAAGAUUUAUUGUAUUUUAAGAUCAAGUUUGUGCUUUAAUAUGAUCUUGGUCGAAGAUCUAUGUCCCUUGAAUACACUUCGUGAGGUUGAACGAAAACAGCUUGCGGAUUGACUGUUUUAGAGAGGUGGAGAUCGAGUAGGCGAUCUGGUGGACGUGUUCGAGUGGUCUAGUGAGUGUACUCGAGUGGUCUGGUGAGUGUACUCGAGUAGGUCUGUUCGAGUGGAUCUGGUGGAGUGAAACGAGUGAGAUCGAGUGGUGAAGAAGAUGAGGGGUCGAAUAGAACUUCCAAAGGCUGCGGGAUUCCUUUGAACUUCCAGGCUUGAUUCUACUUGGAUAUGACACACCAAGAGCAGUUUCAAGAUGAGAACGUGAUAUUACACACACAAACUCAAGAUCAAACGAAUUCAGAAAGAGUUUUUGAUAAGAAAAUGUUUGAUGAUGUUUACAAUGGAGGAGAACCGAAUAUAAAGAAGAAGAAGAGAGUCUAGGGAGUUGAAGAGUUCACCUAGGGAAAGAAAAACGAAAUAAACACACAAGACUAAGUUUAAAAUCGAAAUGGGCUCCACCAUGCAGAUGGGCUCUGAGACAGCAAUGGGCUUGAGUAAAAGAGUGUGUGGGCUUGCCUCAUUAAAAACCUCUCUUGGAAAACCCAUUGGGACAAAACCAAGAGGAGGGAAAAAGAGUGCAAGUCACACACCUCCAUUGCUGUCGCUUAAACGGCUUGAAUCACAACCAGUGUGGUUGGACAAGCUUCUGGUUUAAGGCUGCCCUCAAUGUGUUGUAGAAGUGUGUUGAUAGCUUGAUUCAACUGCUUAGUCCUUGAUCUCGUCAUUGGUCCAGUAGCGACUUGCAAUGCAACGUCCUCUUUAGCUCCAAGAACUUCAUCUCCAUGCUCCUUAUCUCCAUGCUCGAUCAAGUGUUCCUCUGGUGCAAUGUCCUGCUCGAUCACGUCUCCUGCUUGGUGGUCGAGUAUGUCCUCUGGUACAUGCUGAUCCUUAGCUCCAUGAUCCAAGCUUUCCAUUAUCACAUCAUCCUCUCCCAGUUGAAAAGGAUUUGACCUCAAAUCUGUAUUAUAUGCAAUAAAAGGGAUAAGGUCAGCAACGUUGAAGCUAUUACUCACGUUGUACUUACCUUGCAAAUCCAGCGAGUAGGCAUUGUUGUUGAUCCUCUUGAGCACUUUAAAAGGUCCGUCUAUUCUUGGCAUAAGCUUAGACUUUCUCUCCUUAGGAAAACGUUCUUUUCGGAGAUGAAUCCAAACCAAGUCUCCUUCGUUGAAAAUGAGUUCCUUUCUGCUCUUGUUGGCUUGCUUAGUAUACUGCUUCGUCUUCUCUUCAAUAUUCUUCUUUGCCUGCUCGUGUAUCUGUUGAACUAAUUCUGCCUUCUUCUUUCCAUCCAGACUAACUCUUUCAUUCAAAGGUAAAGGCAUCAAAUCCAAAGGAGUAGUGGGAUUGAACCCAUAAACAAUUUGAAAAGGUGAAAAUUUAGAGGCAGAAUGCAUAGAAUGAUUAUAUGCAAACUCAACAUGAGGCAAACAGUCCUCCCAAGUCUUUAGAUUCUUUUUAAUCAAUGCACGCAGGAGUGUAGACAAUGUCCUAUUAACUACCUCAGUCUGGCCAUCAGUUUGCGGGUGACAAGUAGUAGAGAACAACAACUUAGUUCCUAGCUUAGACCAAAGCGUUUUCCAGAAAUAACUAAGAAACUUAGUGUCUCUAUCAGAUACUAUGGUCUUAGGCAUGCCAUGUAGACGAACUAUUUCUUUAAAGAACAGGUUGGCUAUAUGCAUUGCAUCAUCAGUUUUAUGACAUGGAACGAAAUGUGCCAUCUUAGAAAAUCUAUCCACAACCACAAAAAUCGAAUCCUUACCUGUCCUAGUCCUUGGCAAACCUACUACAAAGUCCAUAGAAAUAUCAUUCCAAGGAUGCGAAGGAAUAGGAAGAGGAGUAUACAAACCGUGGGGUUGUGACUUAGCCUUAGCUUGUUUACAUGUCGGGCACCUUUCACACAUUCUUUCCACAUCUCUUUUCAUGUGCGGCCAGUGAAAGUGAUCUUGCAUGACUUUAAGAGUUUUUGAGACUCCAAAGUGUCCCAUUAAACCUCCACCGUGUGCUUCCCUUACAAACAGCUCUCUCAAAGAAGAAUUAGGAAUACACAAACGGUUAUCAUAAAACAAGAACCCGUCAUGUCUAUAAUACUUUCCAAAUGCAAAUUUCUCACAAGAUGAAUAUAUCUUUUCAAAAUCAGAAUCAUUUGCAUAAAGAGAUUUUAUAUGCUCAAACCCGAGUAACUUAGCAUCAAGAGAUGAGAGAAGAACAUACCUCCUUGACAAUGCAUCAGCAACUACAUUGUCCUUACCUUUUUUGUAUUUGAUGACAUAGGGGAAGGUCUCAAUGAAUUCAACUCACCUUGCAUGCCGCUUGUUGAGCUUUUGUUGUCCUUUAAGAUGCUUUAAGGACUCAUGAUCUGUGUGAAUGACAAACUCCUUAGGCCAGAGAUAAUGCUGCCAUGUCUGUAGUGCUCUCACCAAAGCGUAAAGCUCCUUGUCAUAAGUAGGAUAAUUGAGAGUAGCUCCUCCUAGCUUUUCACUGAAAUAAGCUAUUGGCUUCUUAUCCUGCAUUAAGACAGCACCAAUUCCUACCCCGGAGGCAUCACAUUCAAUCUCAAAAGUUUUAAUAAAAUCAGGAAGAGAUAAGACAGGGGCAUUAGUAAGCUUCUCUUUCAAAGCUUGGAAAGCAUCCUCUUGAGCCCGUUCCCACUUGAAUCCAACAUUCUUCUUGAUAACUUCAGUGAGAGGAGCUGCUAGAGUGCUAAAAUCCUUUACAAACCGCCUAUAGAAGCCAGCAAGUCCAUGGAAGCUUCUCACUUCUCCUACAGAUUUUGGGCUGGGCCAUUCACGGAUUGCCUUAACCUUUUCUUCGUCGACUUUUACUCCAUCUGUACUCACAACAAAACCUAAGAAGACAAGGUUAUCUGUUCCAAAAGUACAUUUCUUAAGGUUGGCAUAAAGCUUUUCCUUCCUAAGGACUUCUAGAACCAUUUUCAGAUGAUCUACAUGCUCUUCUAGACUCUUGCUGUAGACUAGGAUAUCAUCAAAGUACACUACAACGAAAUGUCCUAUAUAAGCUCUAAGAACAUGAUUCAUCAGCAUCAUGAAUGUACUAGGUGCAUUUGUCAGCCCGAAUGGCAUCACUAACCAUUCAUACAACCCUUGCUUAGUCUUAAAUGCAGUUUUCCACUCAUCGCCUUCUUUCAUCCUAAUUUGAUGAUAUCCGCUUUUCAAAUCUACUUUAGAAAAGAUGCUAGAACCAUGCAAUUCGUCUAACAUGUCAUCUAAUCUAGGUAUAGGAUGGCGAUACUUCACUGUUAUAUUGUUGAUGGCUCUGCAGUCAACACACAUUCUCCAGCUUCCAUCCUUCUUAGGUACAAGCAAUACAGGUACAGCACAGGGACUCAUACUCUCACGAAUAUGACCUCUCUCCAUUAGCUCGGUUACUUGUUUUUCUAGCUCCUUGGUCUCCACAUGAUUAGUUUUGUAUGCUGGUCUGUUUGGCAAGGACGCUCCUGGAACAAAGUCUAUUUGGUGCUCAAUACCUCUGAUGGGUGGUAAACCUUGAGGAUUCUCCUCUGGGAACACAUCAGUAUAAUCCUGCAAUAGAAACUUAAUUUUGCUAGGAAUGGCCUGCUCAGGAUUAGUUAUGCUCACGAGAGUCUCUUUAAAAACAAAGAGUAAUUUAGAUGAAUGUAAAUCACUUCCCUUUUGCUUACUCUCGGUUAUCAUGAGGUUAGGUGAUUUUUCUUUCUGUUUCCUCCUCAUUUUCAUGCUCAACUGGUCAAGAUAUACCUCAUGCGGAGUCAUUGGAGCCAAUAUGGUUUUUUUGCCCUUGAACUCAAAGAUUUGACGAUUGGUGAAACCGUCAUGCAUUACUCUUCGGUCUGACUGCCAUGGUCUUCCCAAUAGAAUGUGACUAGCGUCCAUAGGCAGUAUGUCACACAAAAUUUCGUCCUCAUACUUUCCAAUAGACAAUGGUACCUUCACUUGUCUGCUCACGCUCAUUUCUCCAUCCUCAUUCAACCACUGCAGUUUGUAUGGCUUCGGAUGCUUCAGGACCUUUAAACCAAGUUUUUCCACCAUGGUCUCACUGGCAACGUUGGUGCAGCUUCCUCCAUCUAUGAUUAAACUACAGACCUUGUCAUUGACAAUACAUCUUGAGUGAAACAGAUUUUCUCUUUGCUCUUGCUCGUCUGUCUUAGCAAUAACACUCAAAGUCUUCAUGGCAACCAGCAGCUCUCCUUUAGAUGGCGCUUCACAGUCUUCUGAUGAUGAGUUCUCUUCUUGCUGCUCAUCCUCUGACUCUAUCUCACCAGUAUCUUUCAGUAUCAUGAUUCUCUUGUUUGAGCACUCACUAGCGUAAUGACCAUGUCCGUGACACUUAAAGCACUUGAUGUCUCUGGUUCUAGUCUCAACAGCUUUGCCCUUUCCUUUCUGAUCUUGAUCCUCAACCUUUGGCUUGACAAAGGGUUUGUAGUCUUUCUGAAAUCCUGAUCGCUCAUCUCUUUGGUAGCUAGGCUUUCCUGAACCAAAGCUAGGCUUUCCUGAACCAAAGCUAGGCUUAGAGCUUCUUCUCUUAAGUUGUUUCUCGAACAUGAUGGCUUUGUGUAGCAGCUCUUCUAGCUCCACGUAGUGCUGAACUUCUACUCUGUUAAUGAUAUCUCGGUUCAGACCUCCCAUGAAUCUAGACAUUGUAGCUUCUUCAUCUUCUUGAAUAUCUGCUCUCAACAUCAAUGUCUCCAUCUCUUUGUAGUAUUCUUCAACUGAUCUACUUCCUUGGACUAGAUUCCUCAAUCUAUUGUGUAGCUCUCUGUGGUAGUGACUGGGAACGAACCUCUUCCUCAUUAUAGUCUAUAUCUGAGUCCAUGUCUCAAUGGGAUAAUCUCCAGCACGUCUUCUUAUGGUGACCAAUUGAUCCACCAACUCAAUGCGUAGUUCUGGAACCCUGUUGGUGCUAAUUUCACUUUACGCUCCUCUGUAUAACCUUGACAACCGAAUACUAUCUCAAUCUUCUUUUCCCAUUCUAAGUACUCUUCAGGGUCACUGGUUCCCUGGAAAGAAGGAAUCCGUAUCUUCAAGCCAGCUAGGUCAUCUCUGGGUGGAGCUCUUUCUUCUCUGUGAUGUCUUCUCCUUCUAUGGCUGUUACGAGUAGAGGUUUGGCUGUAAUAGUUGUGUGCCGCCUCUUGAUCAGAAGGAUUUCUAGUAUCUCUGUUCUGUCUGCCCUGGGUUGAUCUCUCAUUAGCUUCAAACCUUUCGUCCAUCAUUUUUGCCAUGUUAGCAGUAAGAGUAGCUGUGAGAGUUGCUGUAAGAGCUUCCAGCAACAACUUGUUGUUCUGUACCUGACUGCUUUCUUCCUUGUCCUUAUCAGACAUGUCUGCAAUGAUCGAAACAAAGAAAACCAGUAAAGUGUUCCUUGUAAAUCGAGCAACAAACAAUAGAGUCUGAAAAUUCAAAACCCUAAAUAGCUUCUAUUGAACCCUAAUCGAGCAAGCAUGGAAGACGAAUCGUUUUGUUCCUAAUUACUAGAUCGAGUACGUAAUUAAAUAGUUCAGAACGUGAUCUAAACGAUUUAACAAGUUUCAUACAGGUCGGAUAAGUAUUCAAGCCUAGAACGAUGAAACAAUUUCGCAAGAACAAAACAGAAGAUGAACAGUUUAGAUUGAUACAACCUGACACGAAGUAGCUCUGAUACCACUUAAUAUGAUCUUGGUCGAAGAUCUAUGUCCCUUGAAUACACUUCGUGAGGUUGAACGAAAACAGUUUGCGGAUUGACUGUUUUAGAGAGGUGGAGAUCGAGUAGGCGAUCUGGUGGACGUGUUCGAGUGGUCUAGUGAGUGUACUCGAGUAGUCUGGUGAGUGUACUCGAGUAGGUCUGUUCGAGUGGAUCUGGUGGAGUGAAACGAGUGAGAUCGAGUGGUGAAGAAGAUGAGGGGUCGAAUAGAACUUCCAAAGGCUGCGGGAUUCCUUUGAACUUCCAGGCUUGAUUCUGCUUGGAUAUGACACACCAAGAGCAGUUUCAAGAUGAGAUCGUGAUAUUACACACACAAACUCAAGAUCAAACGAAUUCAGAAAGAGUUUUUGAUAAGAAAAUGUUUGAUGAUGUUUACAAUGGAGGAGAACCGAAUAUAAAGAAGAAGAAGAGAGUCUAGGGAGUUGAAGAGUUCACCUAGGGAAAGAAAAACGAAAUAAACACACAAGACUAAGUUUAAAAUCGAAAUGGGCUCCUCCAUGCAGAUGGGCUCUGAGACAGCAAUGGGCUUGAGUAAAAGAGUGUGUGGGCUUGCCUCAUUAAAAACCUCUCUUGGAAAACCCAUUGGGACAAAACCAAGAGGAGGGAAAAAGAGUGCAAGUCACACACCUCCAUUGCUGUCGCUUAAACGGCUUGAAUCACAACCAGUGUGGUUGGACAAGCUUCUGGUUUAAGGCUGCCCUCAAUGUGUUGUAGAAGUGUGUUGAUAGCUUGAUUCAACUGCUUAGUCCUUGAUCUCGUCAUUGGUCCAGUAGCGACUUGCAAUGCAACGUCCUCUUUAGCUCCAAGAACUUCAUCUCCAUGCUCCUUAUCUCCAUGCUCGAUCAAGUGUUCCUCUGGUGCAAUGUCCUGCUCGAUCACGUCUCCUGCUUGGUGGUCGAGUAUGUCCUCUGGUACAUGCUGAUCCUUAGCUCCAUGAUCCAAGCUUUCCAUUAUCACAUCAUGCUUAUACGAUGAUUGUGUUUUAGAUUUAUUAUAUUUUAAGAUCAAGUUAUUGAAAACGUAAGUUAAGAAAAUGCAAAUAUAGUAAGAGAUCUACUCACUUCGUUUGACAUGUAGAUUUGCUAUCUCUCUAAACAGUUACUUUUGACAUGAAGAAACUUUAGCACCUAUUGAACUGUGCAGAAAUAGAUGUAAUAAUCGGGCGACAUAACUGGAGAAUGGAAUUUGUAAUAUGAACCUGCAAUGUGAAAUAGAGAAUUUGAUGAACAUUAGAAACAACAAUGAACAAACUAAAUCAGAAUUGAGAAAUUCAAAAACAGAAAAUGUAAAAUGAAAGAUUUUGAAAUAAAUAAUUUGAUGAAAAGCUUAACCAUAAUUGAGAGAUACAAAAAACAGAAUUGUAAAUUGCAAAAAGAAGAUGAGACAUAAGAUUGAUGAAAGCAUGAAAUCAGAACAUAGGUUCCUCCAUAGUGAAGAAGAAUCAUACCUUUUUGCCAACUGUUUCUUUUCCUUCGUUUUCUUUUGACUCAAUCUCAUCUCCUUCGUUUUCUCCCUUCUCCGUGGAUCUAGGUUUUUGAAUUCUUGGGUUUUGAAUGGAGGACGAAGCAAAUAGAGGUUUCGUAUGAAUAUGAAUUUUUUAUCAAGUGAGAAUUAUAUUAGUGACACUUUGUUGAAUCUCAGAGAUCAUGGAAGAACAGUAGAGAUCGUGGGCAGUUGAAGGAUAUUGUUUCUGUCGUAAUUCUUUUUUUUUUCUUUUGAAGAGUAAAAGUUUUUUUUCGUUUUAGUGAAGAUAGAUAAAUAUGUAAUUUUUUUUUGUUUUUUUAUUUUUCCCACGAUCUUCCUUUUCUUUAAAAUUAGGGAAAUUACGUCUAAUGACAUUAAAAAGUCCACUAAUUAUUCUAAUGGCUUAGUGAACCAACUCUUUACUAGAAAGGCUUUAAAAAGUUUUAAAAAGACUUUAGACCCACCAUUAGGUUAGCUAAUUACAAAAACUGUCAUUUUGAAUUAAAAAUUUAUGAAAAUGAAACAAUUUAUAUCUCUUAAUAAAUGUCCGACAGAGAUUUGUUAUUUGUAAUCGUAUUUAUUGCGGCGAAGGUGGAUUUUGAGAAGGGCGGCGAAAACUCUCCGACGAAAAAAAAAACGGCGAAGGUAUGGAAUGUUAGGGUUUGUUAGCAUUUAAAUGUCUAUGGGUUAGUUGUAUUUGUCUAAAGAAGUGAAAUUCCCGUUUCAUUGUAGUGAAAUCGAAGUCGCGUAAAGUAAUUGACUGUGACGGAAAAACGGCGAAAGAGGUACUGUCAGUUUAAAUCUCGUAUUUCCGGCGACCCUUAAGGUUUUAUAUCUUCAGUUUGUUCAUAGAUUGAUAUAUCUAGAAAAGUUGUUUCUUUAUGAGAUUGGUUUUGCAAAAUCGAAGGUAUUUAAAGAGAAGAAUUGCGUUGAUUAGUAGGUUUAGGAAAAAUAUUUCAAAUGAAUGGAUGGUGUACUGAUUUUGUUAGGUAUAUGAAGUGAUAUGGGUUUUAUAUGGCGGGUGUUUUGUAAAAUUAUACACUUUAAACAAUAUAGUGACAGCUACUUCUAAUGAUAGAGUUAUGUAAGUUUGAAAGCUAAUAGUGACAGAGAAAUAUUAUGAUAAAUGUGCAGAAAGAGUUAGAUAUAUGUGGUGUAAACAGAGUAAUGAAGUACUAAAUGUGGUAUGUAUUUUCUUGUCAUGUGUUAUUUGCAGAUGGAGUCUAGUUCAAGUAUUCCAAAGAGUAAUUAUCCUCCACGACUGUAUAGAGAAGGGAAAUCUCCUAUACAGACAAGAAGCAUGCACCACAACUGCACUGUGAGUAGUAUUGCAACAAUGAAGGAUUUCAUUGGAGAUAGAGCAUAUGCAGAGAUUCGUGACAAUAGUCAAUUAGGUGUGUUACUGAAGUUGGCUGAUAGUGAGUACGUUUGGUGUUCUAACACAGUGCAUCACUUUCUGAGUAAUCAGUUGGCGAUAGAAAGUGGGUAUGAGAUUUAGAGUUUGAUAGAAGGAUAUCCUCUCAGGUUUUCACUCCAUGAAUUCUCUGAUAUUACCGGCCUAAACUGUGAUGCAAUAGAUGAAAAAGAUAAAGUGGAUGUUGAUCACAGCGAAUUUUGGGCAGAGUUAGAAGUAGAUGCAAGUAAGGGACCAAACUGGAAAGAGCUGAAUGCGGCGCUAAAAAAAUGUAGGGGUUGGAGCUAUGAGAAACGAAAAAUGCUUGGGAUGUUGUUUGUGUUGAAUGUUGGUAUAUUGGGGAAAUCAAGGUCUAGUAGGAUUCCAUUGGGGUAUGCUAAAAGGGUAUUUGAUUCAGAGGCUUUUGAGAGGUAUCCAUGGGGACGAGUUGGUUUUAAGAGCUUAAUAGAGUCAAUCAAGGUGGUUUCUUAUGAGAAUGGAUCCUAUGUAGUGCAUGGUUGUGUUCAUGCUUUGUUGAUUUGGGCAUUUGAAAGUGUAUCUGCUUUGGGGCAGAAGUAUGGUAAUCCAAUUGAGGGAGAUAAUGUGCCUCUUCUAAGCUGGAAAGGGGGUCGUCCAAGAUGUUGUAUUGGUGACUUCUUAGCGAGGGAAAAGAAGUUACAUAAGAAGGUAAAAACCUUAAUGCCUAUGGUUUUUGACUUCUAUUACAUGUUUAUGUAAAUAAUCUUGAGUUGUAAUACAUGUUUCUGUGACUUGAUUUGUAGUUGGAUGUGCAACAUAUGGUUGUGCAAUCUGAGGAGGACCUUUAUCCAAAUUGGCCUGACGAGAAAGCUGUCUACGGUGAAGGGGAAGGUGCUUGGGAAUUGUUGGAUAACUUGAUGCAUGAUAUCAUGUUAGGACGUGUAGAUGGAAAGUUUUGGGAAGAGGUUCCUAGGAAGAAAAAAGGAAAGAGGAAAGCGGUAGUUGAGGAGACGCAAGAUGACUUUGUUGACCCACCGCCAAAGAAGCAGAAGCAACAAAGUGAAAAGAGAUCAAAAGGAGGUGAUUCAGUAUCUGGUGGAGGGUCAGUUGGUGAAGUUUUGAAUAUGAUGACUGCAUUGGUUGGUAAAAUGGAUACAAUGCAGUCCAAAAUCGAUGGUAGAUUUGAUGGUCUUACAGAGACAGUGGGAGGGAUAGAGAAAAAGGUUAUAGAUCUUGAGAAGGAAGUUCAGAUGCUGAAGACAAGCCGUAAUGAGAAAAAAGGUGAUGAAGAAGGUUCAGUGAACAAGGUAUGAAAUUGUUAAUUAGUGUUUGGCAAUGAUGAAUAUAGUUCAUCUAUAUUUCAUAGUUUUCAUAUUGAAAAAUGAUUUUUUAUGGUGCAGACAACUUCUUAGUUGGUGGGGGAACACAAUUUGAAUACUGUGGGAAGUAUUUGAAGAUGUAUUUCAUUGUUGUUAGUGUUUUGUUUUUUUUAAAUCUACUAUACCAUAUAAUGCAGUUGGAAGACUGAAUUUUUAAAAAAAUUUAUGUUGGGAACCUUAAAUUUAUUUGUUUAAUGUUGUGGACCUUUUAGGUUAACAACAAGCUAGAAACACAUUUGAUGUUAUGUAUACAACACUGUUUUUCUGAUCCUUAUUACAAGCAUGUAUAUUAUUUUACCGAUGUCUUACAAGAUAAAUUUUUUUGUAGUCAUGGUCUGUACAGAUGAAGGAAACAUCUCAAGAAGGGUUUCCAAUUUCUUGCGUCGUACGGAAACCAAGCCAUGUUUCUAAGGCUAAAGCAGGAUUUAAUACAAGCCUUAGACGAGAGGAUCUUUUUCAGUCAAAGUAUGUUAACGCUAGUGUUAAGGAGCCGUUUUCUGCUGCGGCUACAAACUCUAAAUCUGGUUUGCAGAAAUCCGUGACACCGAAAUCAAUUGGGCCUCACAGCUCUGUCAAGAAGAAAGGCAUAAAAACAGAACCUAUUGACCCUCUUGACUCCGUCAGUCCUGUCUGUAAGACCAAGACUACUCCUGGGGUGGAUAUGGCAGAACUGUCUGAAGGUUCUGAUUCAAGUGAGAAUAAACGGAACAAGGCUUUAAAUGGAGCACUCGAUGACUUGCUUCGACUAUGUAAGAAAGACGACUUUGUAUCCCGGGUUCCUAGGCAGAAAAACCUUGCUUCAACACAAGUUCACCCAUUCAUCGGAAGUUCAUUGGUUAAGCGUAUACUGCGGGGUAAGACGCUGUCCCCUACAGUUUACGAUCCGUUUGAAAAGGCGACACAAUUGUCGGUGGAUAUGCUAGUUGCCUUCAUUCGACAUGAUCUGUAAGUACAGCUUUUGUUUUAAAACAUUUGGUUUGUUAAAUCUCUGUCAUUGAUUGGCUUUACUGUUUACAUUUACUAUAGGGAUAACCCAUUAGAGACAAGCAACGGUGCAGCUAACUUCUAUUUGAGGAUAAUGACACCUAAAGAGGAAUGGCCUGUAGGAGAUGAGUGCUACGGAUGGCUGAAAGAUGCGGUAUGUUCAAUUGGGCCUACUAUAAUUGAGGAUUUUAUUUGAAUACGAGGACAGAUUAAUUAACACAUACCAUAUAUCAAAACUGUAGCAUUUAUGCCCUGCAAUGCAAUUGCUCCGGAAGCGGUCUAUGCAACCAGUUACUCCGUUCAUCACUGAUAGGCUUGCCUUCUUAGAUUCAUGGUUUGUCAAUCAAUGGGCUCAUGAUUACAAGAAGUGGGAUAGUGAUAAGAAGUGGUUUUUUCCGGAAGAGUAUUUCAAGGUCUAUUCUGGCCUAUCUCCCUCAUUUGGAAUUACUAACAAAAAAUGGGUAGAAGAUGUAGAUUUUGUGUACUUAGCUCAUAACAUCAACAACAACCACUGGAUUGCUCUUGAAGUGGACUUACAAAGGCGCCGGAUAAAAGCAUAUGACAGCAUCUUGAAUGCUUACACCGACGAAGAAGUGUAUGAGUCAUGUAAGCCAUACACACACACGAAUGAUUCCUGCUUUGUUGCAGACUAUGGCUCCACCAGGUAAAAAAAAACAUUAGGCGCAGCCGCAUUCUCUUUCUACAGGGUGAAAUCUGCCCCUCAAAACAUACAAGAAGGGGAUUGUGGCAUUUACUCUUUUAAAUACAUAGAGUGUUUAGCUCUAGGACUCACUUUUGAGGGAUUAAGUGAUGCUGCAAUGCCAUGGCUCCGCAUGAAGCUUGCUAGUGACGUACUGACUGAAGUGCUUGGAAUUGAUUGCUUCAUCCAAAUGUCUGACCCAAACCCGCGACACGCUGAAUCUGGUGGUGUGCAGUUCAUCUCUGAGACGAAGUAGUAAAAGUGGAAGAUAAUGGUUGGUCUUUAUUUUUUGGUGUUCUUUUCGCUACACUUAUUCAGAUCACUUUUGGUUGGGUAUAACCAAGUUGCAUGUUCUAUAGUUUGACCUAUGAACUUGCAACUUUGUUAUUUCUUCCUGGUACAAGUAACCAUUUUUUGUGUUGUAAGAAGCUAAUUUGGUGGUUGACUCGAAUUUGGUUUUUCACUCUAAUUUGGUUAACCCAUUUUUCGGGACCAUGUGUAUUCAAACACGGGCUUUGUGAUUUCAAUGAAAUUACACUUUCAUUUGACCCUUUUUUUAACGUACGUAAUAUAUGAAAUAUUCAUAUAUGGUGAGGACAAAAGAUGGGAAAGGAAAUAAUCGAUAAUAGUAGCCAUAAUUGUCCUAGAGUGCCUAGAGAACCCAAAACGUCACCAAUGUCAAUCAAUAGAAACCGCCAGAUAAAAAGUCAUGAUUACGUUCUCUCUUUGAAGCCGCUUCGUUUGCCUAUAUUUCUAGGGAACCGAAGACUAAAUUAUUGUAUCUCCAAACAAAAUAUCAAUAUCAACAAAGCCAAACAAACACAAUAACUCUUCAAACAGCAUGGAUUUAAUCUCCGACUUGAGUAUGGCGAGGACAAACUGGGGGAUUCAUGUCAAGAUUCUGGCUCUGUGGAACAAUCCCUCAAGAGGAAUUAUCUUGGAAAAAUGAAUGAUUGUGGUUGACGUGAAGGUUAGAGUUAUCUGUGUUUAUACAAGAUUGAUUUAGUUAAAUUUUGGGUAACCUAAAUUCUUGAAACUGCUGUGAUGUAGGGAAAUUACAUCGAAGUAAUUGUUCCAAACAGGACCUACAGAAAAGCUUUUGUCCAGAAUCUUUCAGAGGGUAAAUGGUUUUACCUUGAAAACUUUCAUGUUUUCCCUUCUAAAUCCACAUGUUUCGCUCUCAAUACCUAUGAAAUACGGUGUAUGUGGGAGACGAAGAUGGUUUCCGUCUCUGACAAAACAAGCAACAACUUCUAUAACUUCGUUUUCCCUAGCGAAGUUGAAAAUGCGUAGGAUGUCCAAUUUCAUCAUGUUACUGGUAAUAAAUACACCUGAUUGUGUAGAUUUUUCAAAAUCUAUAUUCCGGCUACUUGAACGAUUACGUUUUUGCAUGUUUCAGAUGUUGUUGGCGUGGUUGUGAGUCUGUCUCCCAUACGAAGAAUCCCGUUUGUCUGCCGUGAAAACGAAACAGAUUACAGUGCUAGAUAUGUAAAACUCACAAUCAAGGACAAUAUGUAAGCCUGUCAAUUAGGGUUUUUUUAACAUUUUUUCUUAUUUUGUUCAUUAUGUGAGUGAAAGUUUGCGAAUUAUUUAUGUUCUUAUAUGUGUCUACCUACAAUGGGGAAUUAUCUAUGUUCUUAUAUGUGUCUGGCUACAAUGGGGAAUUAUCUAUGUUCUUAUAUGUGUCUUGAUAAAUAGGGGAAAUCGCACAACUUGUAUUGCUUUGGGAGAAUGUUGUGAGACGGUUGUGAAGAAGGUCUCAACGAUCCUGAGUUCCCGCAGUUACAAUUAUCAGCCAAUAGUGGCUAUGAUGCGAUUCUGGCGGGUUCAGGCGUUUGAAGGUGAGUCCCUAUCUUACUUUAUUAUCCCUAUAAAAUUAUGUCGCAUUUAACAUUGGUGUUCUUUUUUGUUUUAGGUAAAAAUGUCGUCAUGAGCGUUGAUGAUUGUGCUAGGGUUUACAUCAACCCGAGAUUUGAAGACUUUGACUUGGAAGGAUACAUGUAAGUAGCAUUUCCUAUUAUAGAUUGCCACGUUAGAUAAGUUACAUUUAUAUAUAGAGAGAAGAGAGUAAUCCAUGUUAUGUUUUGUUUCUUGAAUACAGUCGAAGCUUCGCAGACCCGGAAUCUGAUGCUGUUUACAUGGAGGAGGUUGCGUCUAACUAAGGGAUGGAACGCUCUUUGGGAUGCUGGGCUAUGAAAUCCACCUUAUGUUUGGUCAUUGUUUCUCCCUACUUCUAAGUCUCAAACUUGUUUCGCUAUGUUAUGGUUAACAAGCUUUUGGUUUUGACUAAAACAAUAUGUUCCGUUUGUUUAUUGCCCUAUUAUAAUCGGUUCUUUGUUUGCUUAUAUCUACUACAAUGAAUCACAAUGUAGAUAAGUCUAACAAUAACAUUUAUUCACCGUAAUCAUAAGUUCAACAUGAUAGAAAGUGGUUAUAUGGUUUAAUUACAAAUUCUACGAAAUGACUAGAAUGGAAAAUUAGAAACCAAAAACAAUUUGGUUACUUCCCUUCUGAAUCACAAUGUAGUAAAUUACAAACACAACCAGAGCAAAAACACAAACAAGACUGAUCUUGUUCUUGAUCUUCGCUUUGUGUAAUUCCUUUUUGCACCAACCCAUCUCUUCUUUCAGAUUACCGACCAUCUCUUUUACCUCAUCACCUACGAUCCUCAUAUACACAAUCUCCGAUUCUCUCUGCAAUAAGUCUUGAACCUCUUCAUACAUUCCUUCUUCCACCCACUUAAACAAAUGACCAUCCUUUGAUACACAAAAAUAGUAAUAAGAAUAAUAUCACAAAGUUGUUGCAAAUCAACGGUAGUAGAGUAAGAAGGAAAUAAAAGUAAUGAUUUAGGAGCUUACAGCUCUCGAAGCAGCACAUCGGAAAUUAGGCCGACCGGGAUUCAGUUUUGAUUGAGAUGUGAAAAGAUAUACAUUACUGCCACACACACAAUAUUUCGGAAAUCCUCUUUCAUUUGAGCAAUUGUUAAUUGAGUUACAACUUAACUCAUCCUAUGAAACAAGGAAUCAUCAGAAGUUAUGAAAAACCUAAAUAAAUCGUUGUUAUUCAUAAAAAUGUCUGAUAGGUACGAAAAUAAAUUAAUUACUUAUAGAUCCAGAGGUUUCGGGGUUCGAUUUGAUGUUUUUCGUGUUUUUCAUCGGUUCAAAUGCACUCGAGCAAUCGUCCUUCGCUUCUGGGUUUGUCGGAAAGCGGCUAGGGUUCUUAUUCAACGAGUUGGGGAUAUUUGUUGGUUUUCUCUCUCUCGGUUAAAUAGCCACAUUAUUCGUCUCUACUAGUCUUUCAACGUUGACUAAAAAAAGGGUCCAUUAAAUCGUUGACUUAAAAGUGGGCACGUGGGAUUUACUAUUUUUUCCUCUUUAGUACAAACACUACGAUUAACAAAAAAGAGCAUUAAUCUCUGUGAAAGAGUGUCUUUUACUAACACACAUAAACCCAACAAAUAUAAUACGAAGACAGCAUAAAAUAUUGUCUUACACAUAACCAACAAAAUAUUACGCAAACAUUAACACAUUAAACGAAAGAUAUUAGCAUAAUAGUAGGCGAAACAAUGUUUGCAUACGACUAUAUUGUCAUCGUGUUAAAGGCAACACAGAGGACAAAUCUCGAAAUGGAAUGUUCUGUAGAAAACCCGAUAACCUAAAAUUCCCAUGGAUCUUGCUUGUUCUACCACUUCGUUACCGAUUAUGACAGCUGCCUCAAGUGUUGGAAACUUUCGCAAAAAAUAUUUAUUUACAAGCAUACCUUCUUUUAAAGCUCCACAGCAUAUGAGUAGUAUCCCAUAUGCAAAAUGUGCAUAUAUCGACUCGCCAACACAUUGACUUAGCAUAUCUAGGGCAGCUUGUGAAGGACCUACUUGAGUCAAAAUCCUCAACGCUUCAACAUAUUUUGCAACAGGAUGACCUACUUCGAGGCACUUUAAUAAAAAAGUCCUGUAACUCGCCUGAACAUUAGCAAGCCUUCCAUUAAAAAUAAAUUCAUCAAUAUCAACAUUCUCUGAUAAUAGGAUUUUACUCUAACAAGUAUCAAUCCCUAAUACACAUGCCAUUGUAGUAUAUUAGGUUAUCAAUCCAAUCUCAGUGUGACUGCAAGCAUUCAAGAUAUGAAACAGAAAGCAAAUAAGUCAAGCCAAUUAUGAAACGGUUUUGUGUGUUUCUAUUGAUCCUAAGCAACCAAUUUAACAUGCAAAUACCGAAUUUAAAAGCAUAAAAAGAGAACUAAACAGCAAGUAAACAAGGACAAGAAGUAAACUAAAGACCAGAAACUAUCAUGCAAAAGCUUUGGAAAAGAAACUAACAACCUAACAAUGCAGAGAAGCGCUCUAGGCCUAACAGGUCGAGUAGAACACAAAGACUGACAGAAACAAGAUUUAAACAAUCAAUAGAGAUAAAAGGUCCUGAGGAAUGGGGUAAUCGAUUAUGGCAGUCUCCUUAGUCUACCUAGGUGGUUAACAAACUCAAUCAAGCUAUCCCUAGAUAAUAGAUUCGAAUACAAAUCAAUCCACUCUCGUGACAGAGAUUCUCAAGCUAAAUCACUUUCAUACUCAAUUCUCAUUGAAGAAAUAUAACCUAGCAGGCAUUAUGAUUCAAUCUAAUCAAGUCAAUAAGCAUUCUAAACAUCCAAUCUCUUGGGCUAGAGUAUGCAAAUCUCUGGAAUAGUUGGUUCAGACAUUUCAUCAAACACCUUUUGGGUGUGGAAAUGUCUGAGAUCAACUUCCAAUUGAUCAAAGAGGAAAUAGCAUUAAGAUCUACUAAACCAGAAGGGAAAUCAAGCAAUUCUACACUUAACCACCUAAAUAUACUAAGGAUUCCACACCUAAUCUAUCCCAUCCUCAAGAACCCUAAUCCACUACUCAAGAACACUGAAGAACAUCAUGCAUAAAAACCCAGAAAACGUUUCAAACCCAGAAAUCAUUGAAAAGAAAGUAUGUUAUAGAUAAGAGACAGAUCUACAACUUUGAUGAAGAAAAGAAAUGCAAAAACUCAAAGGAUCCACAGGAAAAACGAUUACAAAAACUAGGGUUUAUGAGAGAACAGCGGAAUAUCUGCUGGGUAAAAGGAAUAUUCGCUGGACAAUAGCAUGUACCCCUAUUUAUAGGAAAUACUAGGUUGCCCUAAUUGGCUACAGGACAAAAUAGAGAGUCGGUGGAGGCCAACUCGACGUGACGUCGAGCCUGCCACGUCGAGUCCAUGUGAUCUUCAAAGGUGGCGCCUUGACGUCCAACUCGACGUGACGUCGAGCCUGCGUGGUCGAGUCUGCUCCCAGUCGGCUUCCUGGCAUCCUACUCGACGUGUCAUCGAGCCAUGACGUCGAGUCUGCUCCUGGGUGAUCUUGAACGACUUCAUUCCUCUCCAAUUCGAUCCCAAGUCUAGCUCCAAGGUCGUGUUGGUUCCUCCUUGCUCCAUUAAGUCCCAAAUAAGCUCCAAAGUACCUAAAACUCAUCCAAUAUGCAACAUGCUAUGCCAUGCAAUGCAAAUCGUACUAAGUGAUGAAAAUAUUAUGAAAAAGGACUAUUAAUGUAGUGAAACAGAGAGAAAACUAAGCUAAAUGCAUAAGAAAUGUGUGCUAAAAAGAGGUAAAAUACAGAGAUAUCAACUCCCCCAAACUUAGCUCUUGCUUGCCCUCAAGCAAACAAAUAGAACCAAGCUGGAGAAGAGGUUUGAAAGUGGAGACUCAGAACCAAAACAUGCAUAUAGAGUAAGUGAAUUCAAUGUCCAGGUUGCUAAUUCUAGAGUGCAAGGUUGACUGAUCUCUACUUAAAAACAUUAGCCAUCUUCUUCACAUUUCAACCUAACCUCUGCCUUAAUCAAAUCAAGCAUUCAAAUCUGCACAUUCCCUUUAACAUUUAUUAAGUAGGAACCGUGAAUCAUACUAUACAAUGGAUAUGAACACAUUUGGCUAAAGGGUAAAGGUUUAGAGACAAAGAUGGUCCCUUAAAGAUCUGGUUUAAAUCGCAACAGGGGAUCUCUCAAGAAAGAUUGAACUUUAGUAGAAUGCUAAAGGUGAGUAUCAAGUUAUGCAUACAAGGAUAAGACCCCAUCUACCCAGAAUGUAAUCAAUAUCAACCCAAAUAGAGGUCCUAUUUCUAAUCCCAGAAUCAUGAACUUAACUCUACCCUUUUGCACUCAAAGCAUUUACAGACUUUUACUCACAUCAUUCCUUUCUUUUCUUUGCUUUCUAUCCUAGGAGAAGCUUUCUUACUGCUCUGUCUAGCGGAUCAGGUUUCUUUAACAACUAGGGUUCCCUUUUCUUUCUUCUUAUAAACACAAGGCUUUUGCCCAAACUCUUUAAGCUAUUUACAGAACCCUUUUUCCUUUACUUUAGCACACCCAAAUCCUUUACUAGACUUCUCUUACUUUAGCUACUUCUCCUAAGAACUCUUUUCCCUUUUCUUUUCUUUCAAUGAUGAACACAACCUUUUCUUUCUUUUAAACACAACCCAAACCCAGAAUUAAGCACCCACCUAGUCCUAUCUGGUCCAGAUAACGUGAACCAGAACUACAUGAGAUACUAUCCUUGUCGUUACAGACCUAACACUUUCUACCAAGCUCAAUCGAAACAAGGCCUCGCAUUCACACACAAAUGAUAAAUGGCUUGAAAGAAGGUUAAGGCUAAGGGUGGGGAAUAACUGCUCCAAAGAUGGGAGUCAGCUACUUGGACUAGCAAGAGUGAUCAAAAGGUAAAAGAAAGUCCAAGUAUUUUAAGGUAUCCAUGAGUUCAUAGCACAAUGCACAGCAUGAUAAUUAUAAGUCAAAAUUCAAGUUCAAAUUGAUAGGGAAUGACAUCAGAUCAAAGCGAGUUUCGACUAAGAACAAGAAAAUCAAGCGUUGAAUUCAAAAGAUGGUGUGGUCUUACUUCAAGUUCAGUCGAUUAUGCAUUAGAGAACUAACAACCAGGGCACUGAGUUCUACUUAGUGAAUAAGCAUAUUUACAAGGUUAUAAUCAUCAUAAUCUCCAAUGCAAAUGCAUGAUGCAGCAGUCCUAAAUGAAAGCAUACUAAAACAAUCCUAAAAUGACAAUGCAAGCUAUAUGAACACUCUGUUUUUAUGAAAUCAUUUUCGAAAAAUUUCAAAUUUUUAUGGUUUUUCUAUGCCUUAGAUGCAAUGAUGCAAAAUUUGAAAUAAGAAAACAAAACGCAAUGUCAAAUACUCCCUGAGCCCUCCCCCAAACUUAAAUUACACAGUCCUCUGUGUAACAAGCAUUUGGAAGAGAGUACUCAGGGCAAACCAACAGAGAAACAAAAUGAAAUGUGGUAUAUACAUUGGUGAAUUGGAGUUGUUACCUCAUGGAUGGGUGAAGAAGGAGGUGAUUGACCUGGUACUGGUGGGCUUCAUGGGCUAACUCGACGUCUCAUCGAGGAGGUACGUCGAGUAGGGCUUCGGUUUUGGUUUGGAGUGACACCAAGGGGCAAGCUCGACUUCACGUCGAGGAGGGCAGGUCGAGACAAGGCCACCCAUUCUGUUUUGCGCCUUGGCUUCCUUAAAACGCUUAAUCCUGAGACACUUAAGCAAAAACAUCAAAAAUAACAAGGAAAUAACUAAUAUUUACAAGGAUAGACAUGGGACUUCCUCCCAAGUGAGCUUGUUUAAAGUCUUUAGCUUGACUUCUCACAGUGAAUAAGCUUAGGGUGGAUUGUAGAGAGCAAAUGAGGUCUCAUCUGUUCUGCAGGUGGAUGAAUCAUCUGGCUUAGCAGGCUCUCUUGACAAAUCUGCAGUUGAGUACUCAAUGGCCCUUUUCUCAUAGUAAGCUUCUUGUUGAUCAACUAGAUAGUCUUCUGCUAUAGACCAUUCUGAAGUGAAUUCACUCCCCUUUGUGCUGACCAGAGUAGACGCUUCAUCAUUUGGGAUGUCCUUGAUUUGGAGUGGUACUUGGUUGGCUAUCCCAUGGAGCUUCUUGAUUUGAUCCUUCAGCUCCCUCACAGUGCAUGUUAGCUCCCUUAUGGCUUUAUCCUGCCAUUUGGACCUCUCCUUGAGUUCUAACCAGCCAUCUGGAGCAGAAUUGCUAGACUCUAGCAGCUUAUCACAAUGUUUGGUCGAGCUAGAGUUCUCCAAACUAGUUGAAGGCUUGCUCAAAUGUAUACUCGAGUCAGUUGGUUGAGCAUGGGUUGAGCUUGCUUCAAAUGCCACCUUAACCUCUGUUUCUAGCUCAAUCAAGCCUUUAAAGACCUCUGACCCUACUACUUCCUUGUGUGAGUCUAGUGACUUACCACAUCUCAAGGUUUCAGUGAGAAGAUAUCCUGCUUCACCACUCUUAGUCAAAGAAGUUUUUUGGUGAUCUUCCUCAGCAACCUCCUCUAGCUGUUCAUCAGCUAGGCAAUCCAUUACCUUAACUACGAAGGUCUGUCCUUCAAUUGUUGGCUUCCUCGUGGCAUCAUUGAUGUCAAACUUCAUUGUGAAAUCAUUUCCCAGAUUAAGAUCAAUCUUCCCAUUCUUAACAUCAAUGACAGCUCCAGCAGUGGCUAAGAAGGGCCUUCCUAGGAUUAAAGGAUCUUUUGGUUCAUCCAUUUCUAGCACUAUGAAGUCUGUAGGGAUUUCAGCAUUUCCAAUCUUAAUAGGCAAAUCUUCUAAUAACCCAUGAGGAAAUCUGAUAGACUCAUCAGCCAGGAUCAAGGAGAUGUUGCAAGGUUUAUACUUGCUGAAACCCAGUCUCUUGGCCACGGAGAGAGGCAUGAGACUUUUAAAAGCACCUAGAUCGCAGAGGCAGUUACUGAAAGCUAAAGUGCCUAGAGAGCAAGGUAAAGUAAACGAACCAGGAUCUCCCAAUUUCUUGGGAAUAAUCUUCGUUUGGAUGAUUUCACUGCACUCAUGACUCUCCAUCCCUUGCACUUCCUUAAUUCUCUCCAUUACCAUGUCUUUGAAGUACUUGUGAGAAUCCGGAAUCAGCAUGAAAGCAUCAAUGAGAGGCAUCCUUAAUUCAAUCUCCUUGAUGUGUUUAGCAAACAUGGCUCUGUACUUCUCAAUGAUAUCCCUCUUGAAUCUUCCUGGGAAUGGUAUUUUGGGCUUGUAGGGUGGUGGGAUAAAAGCUUUCUUCUUACCCUUAUCAACAGUUGGUUUUUCGAUUUGGGGACUCUUAGCUUGAUCUCUAGGUACAACAUCUUGGUCAAGCUUAGUGGUGUCUUCUAUUUGGGUUUCAUUCUGAAUAGAAUCCUCCCCUUCCUGAAUCUCACUGUCCUCAGUGACAGAAGCUUGGUUAGGUCGAGCUCGCAGCUCUCGACCACUGCGGAGGUGAAUAGCAUUAACAUGACCUUUUUGAUGCUGAAUAGCUUUCCCUGGCAGUUUCCCUAGAUUCUGAGGCGCAGAAGUAGAGGCAAAUUGGCUCUCCAUGUACUUAAUCCUGGAGUUCAAAGCUUCAAACUUGAUAUUGAGAUCAUUGAAGGUGCAGUCUACUUUGUUUUGAAUCUCAGCCAUCUUCUUAUCACCAGCUACUUGGCCGUGUAGAAGCUGUUGAAGCAUUUGCUUCAUGUCUUGAUCUUGUGCAGGUGGAGCUUGUUGGGGUUGCUGUGCAAAACCGGGUGGUGGAUUAUAUUGUUGAUAACCGCCACUAAACUGCUGCUUUGGGACAAAGCCUUGAUUGUACGGUAUGAAUGGCUUGGACUGGUUCUGUUGUUGCUGAGGGUAAACCUGAUCUUGAGGGUUUGCAACAUUCGUGCUCCGGUAAGAUAGAUUAGGAUGAGCAGGCUGGUAGGGGUUGUAGCCCUUGUUGUAGCCACCUUGGUUCUGAACGUAGCUGCCUUCUGCAGCCUGAGUGUUCUCCCCCUCUUGGAUUUUAUAGUGCUCUUCUUCAGUGAUAUAGUGGACUGGUUUCUGGUUAGUAAGCAGAAAUUUAUCCAGCUUGUCGUUGAGAGCCUGAACCAUCUCCUUAGUAUGCUUUGCAUCCGGAUCUCCAAUACCUCUGUUGGAGCGAUCAAAAUCCUCAUUAUAGUUACCAUCAGAUAGAGCUAAGUUCUCUAUCAACUCCCAGCCUUCCUCAACAUCCUUAUUCAAGAAAUUCCCAUUAGAGGCAGUGUCUAGCAACAUUCUGAUCUUGGGCAAAACUCCCCUGUAGAGUGUGCUGAGUAGUGAAGCCUUCUUGAAACCAUGGUGUGGACACUGUAUAGUGUAGCCUUUGAAUCUCUCCCAGGCCUCACAAAUGGAUUCAGACUGCUUUUGAGUAAAACUGGAGAUUUCAUUUCGUAGACGUGCAGUUCUUGAAUUGGAGAAGAACUUUGUUAAGAAGGCCUUCUUGCAAUCGUCCCAAGAUGUGAUGGAGCCAGCAGGUAGUGUCUUCUCCCAGUGGUGUGCUUUGUCUCCCAGCGAGAAGGGAAACAGACGCAGCUUGAAGCUGUCUUCACUAACACCAUUGAUCUUGGUGAGGCUGCAGAGCCUAUCAAAAUUAUCCAAGUGAUCCAAGGGAUCUUCCAGAGGCAACCCAUGAAACUUGUUACCUUGAAUCAUUGAGAUCAAUCCACUCUUGAUCUCGAAAUUGUUGUUCUGGACAGGAGGUGGAACGAUGCCCUGUCUCUGUUGAUGGUUGUGUGGUGCAUCACCAUCACCAAUGUUCCGUGGUAUACCAACUCCCUGAUUAUCUUGAUCUUGUGGUUCCAUGGCUACUGGAGUGUGCGGUUCACAGUUGUCUCUGGCUCUACCUUCUCUUAACUCACGAGCUAACUGGUUGAUGUUGUCUUUGUAGCUGAUGAGGUUGUUGGAGCCUUUAGAUCGAGUUUGCAUGCAAAGUGGUCAGACUCGAUAUGGCAGUCUCGACGUGAGGUCGAGAUGGUACCUGGAGCACAAAAACAAGCAUAUGAAAUGAAGAGUUAGUAACCAAGGUAAAGAAAGAACUUGAUCUUAAACGUUUCUGAAAUCUUAAAUGGAACAAUGCAACACAAGACUGGCAACGGCGCCAAAUUGAUAAUAGGAUUUUACUCUAACAAGUAUCAAUCCCUAAUAGACAUGCCAUUGUAGUAUAUUAGGUUAUCAAUCCAAUCUCAGUGUGACUGCAAGCAUUCAAGAUAUGAAACAGAAAGCAAAUAAGUCAAGCCAAUUAUGAAAUGGUUUUGUGUGUUUCUAUUGAUCCUAAGCAACCAAUUUAACAUGCAAAUACCGAAUUUAAAAGCAUAAAAAGAGAACUAAACAGCAAGUAAACAAGGACAAGAAGUAAACUAAAGACCAGAAACUAUCAUGCAAAAGCUUUGGAAAAGAAACUAACAACCUAACAAUGCAGAGAAGCGCUCUAGGCCUAACAGGUCGAGUAGAACACAAAGACUGACAGAAACAAGAUUUAAACAAUCAAUAGAGAUAAAAGGUCCUGAGGAAUGGGGUAAUCGAUUAUGGCAGUCUCCUUAGUCUACCUAGAUGGUUAACAAACUCAAUCAAGCUAUCCCUAGACAAUAGAUUCGAAUACAAAUCAAUCCACUCUCGUGACAGAGAUUCUCAAGCUAAAUCACUUUCAUACUCAAUUCUCAUUGAAGAAAUAUAACCUAGCAGGCAUUAUGAUUCAAUCUAAUCAAGUCAAUAAGCAUUCUAAACAUCCAAUCUCUUGGGCUAGAGUAUGCAAAUCUCUGGAAUAGUUGGUUCAGACAUUUCAUCAAACACCUUUUGGGUGUGGAAAUGUCUGAGAUCAACUUCCAAUUGAUCAGAGAGGAAAUAGCAUUAAGAUCUACUAAACCAGAAGGGAAAUCAAGCAAUUCUACACUUAACCACCUAAAUAUACUAAGGAUUCCACACCUAAUCUAUCCCAUCCUCAAGAACCCUAAUCCACUACUCAAGAACACUGAAGAACAUCAUGCAUAAAAACCCAGAAAACGUUUCAAACCCAGAAAUCAUUGAAAAGAAAGUAUGUUAUAGAUAAGAGACAGAUCUACAACUUUGAUGAAGAAAAGAAAUGCAAAAACUCAAAGGAUCCACAGGAAAAACGAUUACAAAAACUAGGGUUUAUGAGAGAACAGCGGAAUAUCUGCUGGGUAAAAGGAAUAUUCGCUGGACAAUAGCAUGUACCCCUAUUUAUAGGAAAUACUAGGUUGCCCUAAUUGGCUACAGGACAAAAUAGAGAGUCGGUGGAGGCCAACUCGACGUGACGUCGAGCCUGCCACGUCGAGUCCAUGUGAUCUUCAAAGGUGGCGCCUUGACGUCCAACUCGACGUGACGUCGAGCCUGCGUGGUCGAGUCUGCUCCCAGUCGGCUUCCUGGCGUCCUACUCGACGUGUCAUCGAGCCAUGACGUCGAGUCUGCUCCUGGGUGAUCUUGAACGACUUCAUUCCUCUCCAAUUCGAUCCCAAGUCUAGCUCCAAGGUCGUGUUGGUUCCUCCUUGCUCCAUUAAGUCCCGAAUAAGCUCCAAAGUACCUAAAACUCAUCCAAUAUGCAACAUGCUAUGCCAUGUAAUGCAAAUCGUACUAAGUGAUGAAAAUCUUAUGAAAAAGGACUAUUAAUGUAGUGAAACAGAGAGGAAACUAAGCUAAAUGCAUAAGAAAUGUGUGCUAAAAAGAGGUAAAAUACAGAGAUAUCAUUCUCCAAAACCUCAGCCGUGUAAACUAGCUCAGUGUAGCCUGGUCCUGCAGCGAUAACCGGACCAAGGUAGCGGAAACCGUCUUUACCCAGCCGGCGGAAAAUGUUGCAAACAAUAGGAGUGGGAAGGUACGCCAUAUUUUCCUUUUGGUUAAGUUAUUUGAUAGGUGAAGUUAUGAGAACUUCGAAGCUCGUGUAACAACCCAAUGUAGUUAUAAAGAGGUGAAACAACAAAGAGAGUUCCCUCCAUAACCUAAUCUAUAAGUAUUUACUUAAGUUGGUGAGAUAAGACCUCCUUCGGAAUUUGUCAUAAGUUCAGUAGGUUGUAAACUAUAAUCUACAGCUUAAGUAGUUAUGAUGACAGAGUUUUAAGACAGACGAGACUUCAGUAGGUGAGCCAUAACUGCGUAAUGACAGAUUUUUUUAUGGAAUAACCGCACCGUACUCUACGGCUGACCUGACCUAAUGUUUUUUAUGGGACUCUGGUAAUAAGGGAUACAUUGCACAACUUAAAUACAUCCACACGUAAGUACAUCAAGAUAUCUAAAUAUUGGUUGGUGUUGGGCCUUUGUAAUAGUAAUGCAAACCCAAGGCCCAUUGUAUUGACUAUUUUCGGGAUGGGCCUUGUUAAACAAAACAUGUUGGGAUUGAAGGAUAAAGUCGCAUAUCUAGGGUUUUACUUUUAUACUCUAUCUCUGUUUUUAUCAUCGUCUCCUCCACUUUCCAGCUGCAAGGACAUAUUCAACAAUGUCCUACAUUCCAGCAGCAGUAAUGACAGAUAUAGUCCGUCGAGUUGGGAGUGAUGGAUUCCCGAAUCUUGGUCCUCUGAUCGCAGCCGGGCCAUUCUUUCAAGAAAUCGUCUUCUCCCGUGAUGUUUUGCUAGAUGUCGAUCUGGAUGAGGUCUUGUUCAACUCAAGGCUCGGUAGGGAAGAGUCCAUCUACCGACCGUUUCUUUUGAGAUGCGCAGCAGCAGGGCAUGAGGUUGCAAGAUAUUUAGAAGGACUUCGGCGUUUGACGCAAGAAGGACUGUCGGUGGAAGCAUUAGAGAUGCUUGGAGAAGUUGGAUACUCUUCCAUCUAUGCUACAUUUGCAUUUGCAGUUAUGCUCCUCUGUUGUGGUUCCUAUGACCAAGGUAUGGUCGUUACACGCACUUUUUUUAGCAGGAUUGAAACUUUGGAAGAGGCAAUCGCCGUAGCCGGCGUAGUAGAAGACCAAAUACGUCAUAUCGGACCAGCGGGUCGCAAUGUCUUUGACGGUUAUAUUCAUUUCAAUGAGUAUCCAAUUUGCUACUUCGAACACACCAACUCGGCUACUUCCAUUUGUCACCAUUGUUUUACGUUUAAUUAUGCCACCACUUUCCAUGAAAUGUGUUAAAUUAGGUAACCUUACUUCCGAAGUUCUUGAUCUUCGCUUUUGUUGUCUACAAACUCUGUUAUGUGAUGAACGCUGUUCUUGUUCGAUUCUAUCUGAUUGUCUAUGUUUAUAUAUUUGUUGUGUAGUUUCUUCCUAUGAAAACUUUAUUCCUUCCUACGGUCUAUGUUUAUAUUUUAGUCAGAUGAACAUAUAAGAAUAUACCACUAAGAAGAUUUGAAGUCUUUAGUAGUGUUAGACAUAACAGAGUAGGACAUAACAUAGUAGGACAAAUGUAAUUUCUUACAAAAACAUGUGAAGAAGUACUGCAACAGAAAACAUGUUAUGAAUUACAUGUCGUUCGAUUAUGACCAGCUAAAUGACAUUUCGAGCAAACGUGAACUUUCCUUGGUCGGCUUCGAUCAAUAGCUAUCUCCAUUUGCCCUUUUAUUCUUGUAAUCUUCGGCCUGCCAGGUGGGAUCCUAACGAAUGGAGGCUUACAGACUGUCGAACCGAUUCUCUGUGGGAUAGGUGAUGAACCAUCCUUUGGCAUUAUGGACAUUGCAUAACCGCUCCGAAGAAAAUCUGUCAAGUAGUUUUUGUCGUUGAGUGUAAUCCUAGAAACUUUAGCAUGCUCUGCCGCAGCAAUAGCAUGAACGCAUGCUAUUUUCUCUAAAUCGAACAUCAUACAUGAACACCUUUUCGCAGUCAAAUUCACCACGUUUGUCGACACUCCAUUGGUCACUUCAUAUUGAUGCCUAUCGAUCUUUGCCUUAAUAAUACGGUCCUAUAAAGAGAAAAGUAUAUUGUUAGUAGUGAGUGCAACGUAUUACCAGUAUAUAGAUCCAAAUCACAAGUUACUUACAUGUAAAUGUUUUUCUAAACCUUUUGUCAGGGUUGUUGUCAUCAACAUCGCUUCUUUCCUCCUUUUAGCAUACCAACGUGUCAGCAUCAACCUCACUUCAUCAAGUAGCAUCACGAUCGGGUACUUUCUGGCACCAGUCAAGACUUUAUUUAGAGACUCUGCAAUGUUGCUAGUUGUGAAGUUGUACCUAUCGCCCGGAAAGUGUACCCGACUCCAGAAACGCACGUCAGCCCUAACCAAAUAGCUAUGCAAAUCGGGAUUUGUAUCUUUAAUCUGAUUGAAGUACACGUUAAAAUCUACGAGACGGUAAGCACUUGCAGCCUUUUUCACUAGUCCAUAUGUCUCACUACCUCUAAAUUUUAACAAUAUAUUCUUGUGAAGAUGGUAAGUACAUACACCCCGACUAGCCCGCGGGUAUACACGCCCUAUUGUUUUACCUAUUGAUUUAUGUCUAUCUGAUAUAAUAGACAGGCUUUCGUCAUCAGGAAUAACACAACUAAGUUGUCUAAAGAACCAUUCCCACGACACAUCGUUCUCCGUGUCAACUACCGCAUAUGCUAAGGGGAAAAUAUUGAAAUUCCCAUCUUGUGUUGUGGCAAGUAGAAGCGUACCUAGAUAUGGCCCUUUCAGAAAUGUUCCAUCCACAACUACAACUUUUCUCAUAAACUGAAAUCCAUGAAUGCUUGCGCCAAAUGCAAUGAAGACAAACUUAAAUCUAUCUUCUUCGUCAAUCGCAAGUCUAGUUAGAGUUCCUGGAUUUGCUUUCCUUAUCAGGUAUAAGUAUGAAGGAAGAUCUUCAUAUCCAUUUUCUGAAGUUCCUCUCACCAAAGUCCGGGCAAAUAAGAGUGUACGAUGUGCCUUCCAAUAGUCAACCUAUAAAGAGUUAAUAUUUUCUUAACAUCAAUCCUCCAAAAGUGAAUGAUAUUGAUCUAUGUUUUUUGAUUAUCUAACAUACCUUUAUUCCAUAUCUUAGGUUAAGUGCUUCUGCCACAUGACAUGGCAAUACGGAUUCACCAACACCACCAACAAAUUCCUUGUAAAGCUGUCCUAGUAUUGCAGGAGUCGCUUGCCUAUCACGUGCCGACCGUUCUGUGACUGAACAUGUAUGGGUACGAUUGUAUAUGCGAAUAUUAAAAACACAUGAAUCUCCUAUGGGUGAAGCUCGUACUCUCCAACUGCAGCUGGGUACCCAACAAUUAACAGUAUACAAGUCUGGCCUCGAUCUAUCAACAUCGAAGUCGAACUUUUGGAUUACACUAAGAAUCUUCAAUCUUUCCUCUAGUGCAUCCUUGGACUCAUACUGUUGGCCAACAGCUAGAUCCACACCACACAUUUCCAAUUUCAGAUAAGACUUCGCAUUCCAAUAAUUACCUGAUGAUAAAGAGAAUUUUUUAUUUCUUUUGCAAUUCCUCUGAGAUUCCUCCAUUUUUGCCUCACUCUUCACUUCAUCUCUAUCAGCUACAUCUUCCUCCUCUUCCUCGUCUCGUGAAUUCAAUCCAUAGUAUUCAUCUCCUGAGCUCGCUCCGUCUUCAUCAUCACAAUAAUCAAAUCUGGGAAAUUCAUCAUCAUCCUCCAAAUCUUAUUUGCGAAUUGCUUCAGAAAUGAUUGAUUCAACCUCCUCUGCUUCAUCCACGGAAUGUUCUGUUGAGCCAAAAUUUCGAUUGAACAUAUCUCCUACAGGUUUUUUCCCCUCCCUCUUCCGGUUGUAGUACUCCUCGUCUUCAAUAACUGUUUCCUCCUUCACUUCCCUACUCUCCUCACAUUUGCCCUUUCUUUUCCUGUCUUUCUUUUCUCGACAGUUACCACCACAAAUUAUUUCGACACAUAGCCUCACCGAUUCUUUUGAACACUGCCGGAGAUAUGCCUCGAAUUGACGGCCAUUCGUUACAAACACAGGUGGCGUAUCUGCAAAACUUUUGGACUUCAUAGGUAACAUAUAACUGAGCUUGAUUGACUCAGUCUUUGAAUCGAAACCAAAAUCUUCAUACACCAUGUCAUUAAAUGCUUCAAAACUACUACCAACACUAGCAGGUAAAAUCCUACUUCCUCUUUCUUCAUCAAUGCCAAAAUCCCAUCUUGAUUUAUGAAAUUGCCAGCUACCGCAAACUAGUUGAAUGUCUUCCAUCGCCUUUCGUCGAUGUGCUCUGAUUCGGAACACCGACAAAGUUUUUAACCUACAAACAACGAAGAAGACGCGUGUCCAUUGAAAUUGUAAUUACAGUUACAGUGGAAGGGUUUUUUUGGAAUUGCCAAUUUUAACGCUGUGACAGAUUUAACAUCAUACAUAACUCUGUCAAAAUAAAUCUAUCACGUCUAUAUAACAAAACAUUUUUAAAGGAUUGCGGUUUUACAGGUUUUAAGUCUACCCCCACAUUGUCUCGCUAACUCUGUCACCAAUCAGUCGUAAUACCACUACUCUAUCGUCACACACAUAAAGUCUACCACCACUUAUCUGACACACUGUGACACACUGUGACACGCUAGUAAUUAAUUUCUUGGAUAAGUCUGUCAAUUAUAUAAUAAAUCUAUCGUAAAAAAUUACUCUACUUUAACUACUCACAGACUUUGUUUCAAUUUUCAAACUCUACUACAUUUCUCUGUCUUUUCUUAACAACUCUAUCAUAACCUUUGUUAACUCUACCUAGCAAAUCUAUUUCCUUAAUUACUCUUUCAUUACUACAUAUUAGUCUGCCUAACAAAGCCAUUUUACAUAUUACUCUAUCACCACUAUAUACAACUCUACCAAAUAACUCAACCAAAACUACAUAAAUCUAUCACUCUACUUCAAUCUACUGUGUCUUAAACAUAGAUUUAUCAAAUAUAUCUGACAAAUCUGUCAUUAUUUAUUAAAACUACCAUACAAAUCUGUCACCUCCAUAAAUCUGUCGCCACUUCCAAAUUAUCCUCCCAAUUUCCCGCCUCUUACUUUUUCCCAUCUCCCGCCUUUUUCAUGGCAUUUCUAUAAAUUAUUGUAAUUACUUCUAAUGGCAUUUCUGUUAUUUUUUUUCUCGCCUAACACAUUUAUGAGGGCAAGAUUGCCUUUUAAAAAAGAUAUUACUGUAGCUUCAAAACCAUGCCAUUUUAGUUUUUUUCCCUCUUCACUAAGCCUUUUGAGUAACUCUCCCUUAAAAUUAUUUUGAAAUCAUUUGUUCUCAUGUUGGCUGGAUUUAGUUUUUUUUUAAAAAAAAAAUUUAAAUUUUAUGUAUUAUCGAUUUUUUGUUUUACUUUUUUGCCAUGAUCUCUCUUUUGUUUUACAAUAAAGUUUUAAAAAAAUUUGUUUUUGCUGACAUGUCAAAAUUUUGUUGGUGUUGUGACUUGUGCUUUAUAAGAUAAAGGAUAUCAAACUUUUAAAUUGACUCGAAUUAUAUAUCUACUAGGUCCGGACCCGCACGUACGUGCGGGGUUUUAUAUUUUGAAAGAUGCGGGUUGAAUAUUUGUUGUAUAACGUAUAGUGAAAACGGGUCUAACAUUUAGUGUUGGAAAACGUAUGUAUGGGGUUUUUUGUUUGAUUGGUUAAAAAGAUUGGAAAGAAUAAUUAGUAAGAAUUUAGUAAUUUUGAUUGGUGAAUGAUUGGAUAUCUUGGUUUGGUUUUGUUGAAUUAUUGAGAAAGUUGCAAAAUUGGUUGUAAUAUUUGUGAAACGAAAUUAUUAUUCUGAGUUAUAUUGUAUAUUUUUAUUUCUUAAACUAUAAAAUGAUUUGUUUGGUGAAAUAAAAUUAUUGUUUGUAAUUUGAUGCAUUUUUCAUAAAUAUAAAUGAUUAUAAUUCAGAUAAAGGCCCGUUAAUGAUUCCCCAUUUAAUUAGGAUUGGGCUGGAUUUUUGAUAGACCCAUUUAGAGAUCCAUGGUUUCGUUUUUGUUUUUUAAUACAGAAUCAAAUGUUUUUUUUUCUUUUGGACAGAAGUGAUUAUAGCACGAUUCUUUGUCUUAUGGUCUUCAAAGAAUGAAUCCCUAAAAAUCAUAAGCUUUUCCGAUUUCUCAAUCAAUGUCAAAAGUUUCGAUCAUCAAUCGAGUCUCCGUAUAUCUAAUUUCCAUAUCAUAUUCGGGAUUUCUUCAAAGAGGUAAGGUUUUUAGAGAUUCUUCUUCAAUCAAUCUAUUUUUAUAAUCUGUCGAUUCAUUUACAAUCUUUGUAAUUCUGUGUUUCAACAGAGAUCUUGGGCUAUCACUGUGGUUAUACGAACUUGCAUGAGUAAGUAUUUUCAAUUAUAUUUGUUGUUUAGAUCCGUAAUUGCAUGUCUAUAAUUUUUGUGUUUAUUCGGGUAACUCUAUCUAUUAUCAAAAUCUUCUAUGCGUUGGAGUGAAAAGAGGCUAUAAUUUGAUUUUGUAUAGAUUUAGGCAAUAGAUUUUGUUUCCUAAUAUUUAAUUUGUUCCUAAAUUGAUUUUAGAUAAUGAUUGGAUGAUGAUUUUGUAUGAGGAAGACGAUUUACAAAGUUAAGCUUUCUAUUACAGCUCUUACAUAACAAAACAAUGUCUUAAUAUAUAUGGUUCUGAUUUUACCAAAUACAAUGUUUACAGAGAAGGCAAAAUAUUCGAGUUGAUUUCAAUCUGAGAAGACAAAUUUGAUGUCCUUUAGUAGCCAUAACGGAAUCUGGAAGCUAUUUUAAAGGUUAGAUUAUGUAAUCUCUUUUUGAAAUUGUAGAGUUGUUAUAUAAAACAUAUAGUUGUCAAUCUAUACUUUUAAAUAUUGAUAUUGCUUAGCUUAACAUUUAUGAGUACAAUAUAGUUUUUAGAAAACUUACUUAAAUUUAGGGAAUAUACUAAUAAAACUUUUUAUGGAAAACAGAGUAAAAUAGAGAUUAAAUACAAAAGAAACAAAUAGGGUAGGUUUAAGUCGAUUACAAAAGGAGUUUUCCAUACCUCCAAGGAAGUUUUUAAAAAGACAGAGUUCAUCUCCUCUAAAAAUGUAAAAAGAAACAACAUAAACUAAGAGAAACUGAAGUAACCUUGCAAAUCCAAUCCCUCCUUCCUUCACAUGUUAGUUCUCAGCAACCAUCUCCAUCAUCACAUCCUCUUCGUCACUUGAUCCAUCGUCGAAUGAUCGCCUGCAAAAAAACAUAUGCUUUAUGUUUACCUAGGCUAUGAAUCUCAACCAAAAUAUAUGCCAAUUAUAAGAGAAUUUUUAACUUACAGAUAACUUGGAAUGUCAAGUUCAUAAAAGAUUGGAUCAAUGUAUCGACGUGAACAGCCAUAUUCACUCAUUAAAACAUUGUUUCCUAUAGAAAAAAAAAAAGAUUCAGUCAAUGUAACUAAUAAAAUUGUAAAGUCAGUUCAUAAAACUAUAAUAAGAACCAACCACAGUAAGAAGUUAUUCUCCAGAAACGCAAGACUGCAACAAUCUUAUCAUAGUUGUAGUUUAUUCCGCUUAUCUUCUGAGACCAAGUGUUCACAAAGAACUCACACCACUUUCCCACAGCUACGCAUUUUAUUGUCUCCCCCCUAGAUUAAAAGUUUAAUUUCCAAACAAAAAGAACAGUCAAUCCAAUUUCUUAAAGUAAUUUAAGAACAGACAUUGAAAUUCUGUCACAGAGGGUAAACUAAACUUACACAUUAUUUUUAAUUUUGAAGCAGACAUUUAUUGUACUUAAAUAAUAGUAUAGAUUUUUUGUAAUAACAAAGGGUAUUGUAGAGCAAGAUAACAUGGUUCUAUUUCACUGAUUCUUUGUAAAUACCCAGAUUUUUCUUCAAUAAUAAUGUCACGACUUGGCAUACCAAUGUGAAAAUCACCUGGAAUCAGCGCUGCGACCUCUGAAGCUGUUGGCACUGCAUAUGUUCUUCCAUCUUUGACACGGUCACUCACAAUUUUCAUGUGAAAGCUCUGCUCAGGAUUGGUAUUAAACCUAUCACGAGCUUGUCUAAAAUGAGCAACGUAUGGAUUAACUUCAUUUAGCAGCUUUAUUAUCGCCUCAAUUAUUUCUUUUCUCAGCUCUGGCUUCUUCUUAUAUUUCCCAGCAGAUUUUCCUUUACUGAAAUAUAAAUUUAGUUAGCAACGACACUAAUACAGACAGAAAAAAACACAAAGUCUGGAUACUGUAAUUGCUUGUUUUGAGUUAGAAAAUGUACCUUAAAAUUCCUGCUCUGUUUUCAACUUCAUUCUCGGUAUCAACUAUAUAUAGCUGACUAAACUUUGGAAAUUCACCUUCUCCAGGUUUCAAACUUCCCAUCUGGUGGUAAUUCUCUCCUUGAAUCUGAAACAUAUUAGGACCCCUUCCCGCUGUAAUAGAAUUAUCACAUUUACCCCCAAGAGAAGUAAACGAAAAAAUCAUGUUAUAUGCUCUGAUGUUCUCUCUAAAGUGUCUACUCAUGUCAUCAUCAUUGGUUAGCAAAGCAAAUAACAGUUCUGGUUGAUUAUGGAGGAAAGGCAGUUUCACAGAUCCUUUCAAACAACAUUGAGUAAAAAUUGGUUUACGAACUUUCUUAUGUCUGUUGAUGCGUUCUCCAUACCACAUAAUAGCACCGCAGUAGGAACAUGAGUAGACAGGAUCUCCAUGAUCUAGAUACUCUCACUACAAGAAAUAUCUACAUUAUUAGCAAGAGAGAAGAGCUAUUAUAUGUCAUCAAUAGCGUUUUCAUAAACGCUGUCUUAUGCCCCUGUUAUGGUAGACCCCCUAUAUACGAUAGCAUUUUUUUUUAUGUUAUGAUAGAGUAUUCUACCAUAGCAUUAGUGAAACGCUUUCAUAUAUCGACUUAUAAUAGCGAUAUAUAUAAGCUAUGAUCUAUAAUUUUUAUGAUGCUAUAAUAUUCAGUGCCAUAACUCUAAUUUUAUGCGGUUGUUUUUAGCUAUUUGCAUUUGGUGGACCUGUUUAAUUUUGAAAAUAUCCAAUAUAUAUAUAUAUAUAUAUAUAUAUAUAUAUAUAAUAAUAAUAAUAAUAAACAUCUAAAAGAUAUACAUCAUUUCAUAAACCAAAAAUCAAUUCAUACAUAACACAAGUCUCAAUCUAGUACUUAAACUAAUAUCCUAACUUUUAUAUACUACUUUUGCCAAGGAAGUUAUUGAUGAGAUCAUGCAAAAUCCUUACUUCGUUUUCUAGAUACUUGACUCGAUUCUUCAAGGAAGUUAGCUCAGUUUCAUAGGUUGUUGUAGUCUCUUCCUCUCUCUUAGGUUUUCAAAAAAUACUGCUACCUUUUCUCUUAGAUUUUCCUCAAAUACUGCAGUCUUCAUCUAUCUCACUGUCCUCAACGACGAGAUUCAUUAUAUCUUUUGUUAGAACAUGAAAUCAAACAAGUAAAAUUCAGGCUUCUUGACCACAAACUUAUUGAGUCACUUUAUUAGUAAACAAGUCUCUUUACUGACCUGAAAACUCAACCUGCGACUGAGACAUAUCUUUAGCCUGAGAAGAGACUAAUUCCAUUUCCUUUGUACCUUUACUUUCUCCAAGAAACUCAAGACCAUCACUUGUAUCCAACAUCGGUGACUCAUAGACAUAACUCGAAAACCACUUACUUAGAUCAGGAACUUCUGAGAAUUCUGAAAACAUAAGUGAAAAAGAACCCCAUAAGUAAAAUCAAUGCAGUUAAAACAAUAAGAUAUACAGAUCUUCCCAACCAACCAAGCAAAUUCAGAAAACAGAUUCCAAGAAAAUGAGUUACCUUCACUAUCAUCCAUCUCUCAAUUCUUUCUAUUCGCUCCUCUUUCACCUUGGUAUCCUCUACACUGUCUUUGUCUUGAGUGCUUCCGUUAGUCUUUUUCUUUGGCUGCCCGACCUCCACUUUCUAUCUCUUUAAGAGCACUGAUCAAAUACAAAGUUGCAAUCAAAGACAAAGAAUGUGACUAUGGUCGUUUAGUUGCAAUGACAAUGUAUACCAGCCAUACCAUAUACUGUUAACCGUUGACCAAGGAAACAAUCAGUUUUGUAAAGUUAAAGUUAUAUCAAAGAGCAAGAUAAAGUUAAAGUUUUGUAUGAGAGUUAAAACUCUAGCAAUCCGAAAUCAUAGACCAACACAACAAUCAAUUUGAAACACAUACAGAGACAAUACUUUAUGCCAAUUAAACAUAACAGUCUACUCUACUUAGGAUCAUACUUUCAUCAUCAGCUUAAUGGUCCAUAGAGGCAGAUUAUUACACUUUCAUCUACUUAGGAUAAUACAUUCUCAGUUACUAUACCCAAUGAAACCUUGUAAAUAAAAACAAAGAGACUCUUUACUAUAAAUAA
rnacentral:lncRNA from 1 species